rnacentral:lncRNA from 1 species
GCUGAUAUAUCCUAAAGUCCUAUAAAAUUCGCUAAACCAACACAACCCAAAAUAUGGUUCAGAAAAUUGUUCAACGUGUACUUAUUCAUGAAACUCAAAACAUAAAAAAGCUCAAAUGCAAAAUAACAGUGAGAAUGAUAAAACUUUUUCACGCCUGGUGUAGACCACCUAGUCUUUGUGGUCUUCUUAGACCUGCCGCCUUCCUCUUCAGCUAAUGCAUCUCAUAGCCUUAGUUUCUGCAAAUAAAAUUCAUUGGAAGAGAAAAUAAAAGCCUUUUUGCUUUCUUAUCAACUUGGAACUGGAACCAAAUCGCAUAAGAGCUGGUUUGGCAGGAGAGAGUUUUGUCUCCUGGACUCUUUUGCCAGGCUUCAAUUCUUCUAGAGGAUGAUAGUUUUGUGAGGCCAAUUGAUAAAUGAAAGGCUGAUUCAAAAGAAGGAAUCUUGCACCUGGAACUGAAUAGAGGACAGCCAAAUACAAACGUUUCCAUCAAGAAUUACUCCAAAAGCAAAACAAUGGUUAAAUAAUCAAGGAGGUGAUGAGAUUUGUCAUUGCAUAAACAGAGAAUCGAAUGCAUAGGUUUCAAUGUGCCACAUUCACUAAAAAUGGCUCACAACGCAUAACUUUUUAUUUGUGAAUCUAGUUUCCUGUUUUGAAAAUGUGAAAAGAUUAAGGUCGUACCUUUGAAUCAAUAAGAACCAUAUCAACGCCCAUCAGUUUGCCCCUUUUCUUCACAUUCCAGGCUUCCCAAAAUCGAAUGGUUUGUCUACCACUUUUUCUACACAGCUUGCAUCCUUCAAAUCUGCCAAAAUGGAUUCGACAAGUUGCCAUAAUGAAAAGGUUAGUUUCGAACAUAACAAAAACUCUGUAAUCGGAAAGGGAAAACUAUUAAGCUUACGCUUUCAAGAGGUACAUAUUUAUACUGAAUAGUCAAGCGAAGUCAGUACGUAGAUUGAAAGCUUCAUUGAAGGACACUUUUAUUGCUAAGCGUAACGUUGGCUGUGAAGGACGGCGUAGAUCGGCAAUCUCGAAGACGCACACGUAACCCUAAACGCAAGACGGGCCACAUAUACGAAAGCAUGGCCCAAGGCCAGAAAAAUGAUUUGGAGAUGUAGCAAAACGGCCGCGUUUCGAAACACAAAACAAAAAAUAUAAGAACCUAGAAGCGAGAUUUCAAAACAAAAGGAAAAGGAGAGGCCUUGCCUGGUCGACACGUGGCGGCAAAAGGAGCAUGGAAGUACGACGUGGUUUUAUGAGGAGCCUUUUUUUUUUUACAUUAUUAAUAUAGAUAUAUUAGGGUCGGUCUGCCCUACGGACGGGAUAUACUUUACAUGCUAGAUCUUGAUUAUUAUUUUUUAAUGAUUUGUAGUUUGUGUUUUGGUUUCAUUUGCAAGAGAUGUGUAUGAUAAUGUUUUUUGUCUUUUAGAAAGUUUUAGGUGAUAAAAGAUUAUAUGUGAUAAGAUAUAUUAUGCUCGUUAGAAAUAGUUUUAAAUGUUCUUUAUAUAUUUUGUUCUACAAUUUUAUUUUUCUUAAAAUGCUUGAUUCUGUUUAAUGUGUAAAUUUUUUUAUAUGAUUAUUUUAUCUAUUUAUUUUGUAUUUUUACUAUUAAUUUUUUUUUUGUUGUAAAAAGAUUUAGUUUUAGUCUUGUUGCAGUUAACUAAAUUUUUUUAAUGAUUUGAAUGAGAGUAUCUUCAGUUUUUAUUAUGGUGGUGUAUAUGUUUUUAUCAUUUUUUUCUUUUAAAUCAUAUAAGCUCACUUUUUAUUGAUCUAUAAUUCAUAUUAUGAUCUCCAUUUUAAUUGUUUGUGAUUGUCGUGUGAUGAUGUGUGAACUAUAUUAUUGUAGAUUUUUAUUGGAUGGGUUUUAUGUUAGAAUUUGUGGUGUUUAAUAAUGUUUAUUGUUAUUAAGAAUGGUUGUGUUUAUACUAAGUGUUUGUGUAUAAAAUAUUAUAUUAAGAGUUUGAUUUUCAUGAUAUUUAUUAUAUAGUUUUCUAAAUAAAGUAACUUCUCUUACACUGUUUAUUUAAAAACAACUUGUCUAUACUAUGUAUUAUAUUGUUAAAAAAAAGGUCAGGUUUUAACUGAUAUGAUUCACACUGUUUUUUUUUUAUUGACUGAAUGUCCUAAUAAAAAGGAUGCAUGACGUAUAUGUACAACUCUGUGCAGCCCAAUAAUUUCUUUAAGGUGUGUUAUUAUUUUAGCCUAUGUAUAUGACACUUAAUUUGUUAAUAAGUAUUAUAACCUAAUAGAAUAACAGAAACCAUGAGGGAUGAAUUUCAGAAAUCUGUUAAUGUUAUAUUCACCAUAAACCCUAUGAUUACAGGAGCCAUGAUUCGGCUAUGCUUGCAAAAAAGUGCGUUGUUGGAGCUCGGGCAAAUUCUAUUUGAUAUAUGCUAGGCGUCUUAUUAGCUGAAGGAUGGUUGCAUUAUUCAGUUGUAUUUCCCUGAUAUUAUAAUCUUAAAUGGCUGAAGUUGGUAGUUCAUGUUCAAGCUCUAAAGGAUGGGCUUGAUUUGCAAUAAUCUCCAUUUUCGUUUCUUAUGUGAAGAUAAUACAUUGGUCUUUCCUUAUGAUUUGAAAUAUAACACAUGCUUUAAACACUAUUUUAUUAUAAAACUCAAUAUUUGGAAAAAGUAUAAUAAAGUAGUUUGUUAUUGUUUGACUAACUGUAACACAUGCUUCCAGUUAUUGUUUGACUAACUGUAACCACUUUUUUGUGUGACAGCUAUAAUUAGAAAAAAAAAAGUGAAUUCUCAGAAUAAACUCUUAGUUUCUGCAAAUAAAAUUCAUUGGAAGAGAAAAUAAAAGCCUUUUUGCUUUCUUAUCAACUUGGAACUGGAACCAAACCGCAUAAGAGCUGGUUUGAGGGUCUGACUAAGAGCAAUAGGGAGGAGUUGGUCUCCCAGCUGGUUCGUAGCAAAUGUUUUCCACCAAAAUACUUCAGAAACUCUUGAACUACAAUAAUUUUCCACACUAUUUAUCUCCAAAAUAAGCCUACUCAAAUCUACAUCCGCAAAGUCUAGUAUUUAAAGACAUAAAUUUUGGUAGUUAAGAAACAAAUACCCGCCAUAGUUAGUUUACUCGGUUGUAGCGAGUUCUUAUCAAUAUGUGCCAAUGCUAAUAUCCUCAAAAUUCCAAUCAAAGCUUUCAAAGUAUUUACCCACCAGAUAUGAGUCGUUUGAGUGGUAAAGAUACUAAUUAAAUAUGGUAGAGAAAAUGGGUGAAGAAGCCUACCGAGACAGAGAAACAGACCAUCAAAGAAGCAUUAUUGUUAUAGUUUUUGAAGCAUCAGAUUAAUUCAUUAGAGCUUCGAGAAGCAUCGUCUGCGAGGGAAAAAUAUGACCUUACAUAGUUACAUUUUAUAAUUAACUUAGAUGUGUUUUCUUAUGGGCUUCCGACUUGUAAACUAAAUCCUAUAUCUGCAAUAAAUCAUAAAUGGAACACAAACAUAAGCAAAAGAAUUUGUUACCUAGCUGGUUUAUUCAAAGAUAGUCGCACAUUUGGUUUGUUUUUGCGUAAUCACUACUCUUGAUAAUGCAAAAUAUAAUUGACCAGGUGUGAAUACAAAUAGAUGUAGCAGAUUUCCUUCUUUUUAUGCAUAUUUUUCAACGUCACCUAAAAUGCUUUUGUUCCUAUACAACUUUUAAUCUAUCUAUUAUUGAUUUAGCCAGUCACUCAUCAUGUACGUUAUAUUUUUCGUAAACAUUCAUCAACAUAUCCAUGUUAUGUGUUUGUGUAAUUCGUCUUCCCUACUACCUCUUUUUCAACAAAUCAAAAGAGCACAUAGAAACACAUUUGUAACUAAAAUAAUGAAAAAACAAAUAACUUGUGUUUGACAAAAGAAAGAAGCUAUACUCUCGUAUCUGUGAAACUUAUGAAAUCCAGUAAGAUAGAAUCUCAUCUUCCAUUUUACAGCUUUCAUUUAAAAUACCAAAUGUUCCUAACAUCAGUGUAUGAAUUAUUCCUACAAAAGAAACAAAUAUUUUAAUCUGCGAUCUUUUUAUUGGAGGGACUAAAAGACUAACAUCAAUUCUGAAAUUUGAAUAAGCAUAUCUCACCAUCACAUGUACUGAGGUUACAAACAGGGCUACGAAGAGUAGUCUAUCUGGAAAUAAGAAAAGCCAUCUUACAUCUUUUCUUGAAGAGGAAAAGAUCCAGAAUUAAAGAAAUUUUUUAACUUACUUGUUUUCCAAGUACCACUUUUUGCACUUCAAAAAUGGACCACUGAUAUGCAGAAAAGGCAUACCCAUUAAAGUGACCAUAGAUGUAGCUUUUACUAUGAGGUUCAAAGAAUUUAUGUUACCUUGUAUAGUUGAAGUGGCAAGUUAGAUACGAAAUCUUGUGAUCUUAAAAUACAAUGAUAACAGAAUAAUUUGACCGCUUGCAGCACUAAAAGCUCUUCUAAUUAUCUACAUACAUAAAAUCAUGCUGGCUUUUAGAUUUGUUUUUUGGAUCAACAGUUAAUGGCAAUAUAAAAAUAGUAAACAGAAGCACACGUUGUCCGAUGAAAUGUGAAGCUCAGGUUGUGCGUAAAACUUAAGCAGUUGUUUUUGUUGGCCUGAAUUGCUGAAGGAAAAAUAAAGAUUAUUAGCAAAGUUUGAUCUGAAAAUCGAGUAAGUCAUCAAGAAAAGACAUUGAUGUACCUUACCAGGUAGUCCAGCUAAAGAGGUAAUGUCAAGGAAAGCAAACACGAUGGUAGCAAUAAGAGAAGGUAAAGAGGUGAAGCCACCCGAACACUGUUUUUGCUGUAAAUCAAAGGUUGAAUUUGAUGGUUGUUGCCUUAAUAUCUGGUGUCGACGUCGCCAAUACUUGUCGGUUUUCUCCUCUUCCGACGGAAUGCAAUGUCUCUCCCAGCAUUAAUUGUUACUAAUGUACCAUCGGUAUUUUUCAUUAAAAAAUUACCAACAAAAUCUUCUGUUGGAGAUCGCUCAAAAAGAUGAUUGAUUCACUCAAACUUCUAAAAUCCCAGAAGUAAAUUAACCUCAUAUUGAGACAUGACGUCUAGCGUAUUGCUUCUGGAUCUGGGAAGUCAUCAAUUUUUCUGUGCUCAGUAAGCAGUAGCUGAAUGGCGGAGAAGAAAGAGUGGGUUGAACCUUAGAAAUCACAUACCAAAAGACCCAAUCGAGCAUUAGCCAUUUUUUUUCAGAAAAUAAGGAGAUUGCUUUGGUUAUAAUAGAUUGAUAGGAUGCUACAGAUUGUAGGGAUGCUAACCUUUUUUAUAGUCGAACCACCACUGCCUUUGAAGAGCUAAAGUAGCAUUGAAGAGAGAUCCUGUAGAUUGAUUUAAAGAGAGAAUUUAAUAGCAAUGAUUUCGUAACCGAUUGAUUACUUGAUCAGUAGGAAGAAGAUGAAUAGUUUGCUGGAAACUCUAGAUUUGCUCCUGUUGAUUGAUGGAUCAGGAGGAAGAAGGAUCAGUUUCCAUGGAAACACAAAACGCUCCUACGGCUGAGAAGGAGAACAAUGGAAGACAUAAUUAAAGCUUGUGGUCGAUGGGCCACAGAUGAAGCGCACCACCAAGCCCAACACCAAGCCCAAAACAAUAUGAAAACACUCUAAUGAAACGCAGCACAGAGGACAACUGUUGCGCACAGGAGAGCUCAAUUUAUGACGUGGCGUCCUUGUUGGCAUAGGUGAGAGAGAAGCUAAACCUAUUAUAUAUAUAAAGAUAUAUAUAUACUAGUAUGUUUCUAUGUGCUCUACGCACGAGAAUUCUUAUUGUUUUUUUAAGUAAAAAUGUUAUUUGUUCUUUACCCUUCAAAACUUUUUUUCAAGUUUAACUUAAUGGUAUUGUGGUCCCAAAAUUAAUAUUUAUUUACAUAACAGAACUAAUAUUAGUAUAUUUAUUAGUAAAAUAUAUAUUUCAUAAUUUAUAGAAUAUAUUUGGUUGACCAAAAUAUGAGUAGUAUACUAAUACUUUUACAGAUGUAAAUAUAUUUAAAUAAAUAAAUAAAUAUUUUAUUUUACUUUAAUUUUGAUUUACCAAAUUCAUGAUGGCCUCAAGCAUUUCCAGUCAUGCUUAUAAAUGUAAGCCCAUGAUAUAUACAUAUAUAUAUAUAUAUAUAUAUAUUCAUAUAUAUAUUAUAUAUAUUCAACGUAAGCUCAUGAUACCGUUCCAAAUUUAGUCAUUUAGGGUUGUACAAAUUGUUUAAGAAUUUGUUGAGCAUAAAAUUUUUUCGACAUUAAUUCAAAUUUAAAGAGAAAAAAUUAUUAGUUAAAGUUAUGUUAUACUCCCUUGAAUGGUUAAAAAGUUGUAUCUUACCUAGUUAACAAAACUGAGCAUCACAUGAAUCGAGAUUCUGAGUAUAGUCUUCAACCGUCGUUGAGAACAUAACUUGUUUUUCCCUAUUUACGCAUAGUAUAUUUUUGUAAGUUUGAAAUCUAUUCUUUAAGCCAAAAAAAAAAGUUUGAAGUAUCUUCUUCUCUUCAAAUAUAUUUUUUGUUCAACCUCUUUUAAUUUUUCUGUGAUGGCCAUACCUUUUCAUCUCGUUCUUCUUCGGUUUCAAUCUGGAGGAGCUAAAUUGGUGUUCCCAACUUCUUGACCAUGAUUUCAGUCGUGAGCAGCUUUGGUUCGAGGAAGAAGCUCGUCCCGUGAAGAUGUUGUAACAGUGAUUCCUAUGCAAAGAAAAUAAAAACUAAAAGGAAUUCAAAACUGCACAACUGAAAAAUAAUUAAAUGUUUAUAAUUAAACUUUAUCACUUAUUCAUUUGCUAAACGAUCAUAAUAUGAAGCCGCUUGCACCACCAACCAAUGUCAGGGAAUUUUUGAAAGCCAUCUAUAAGUCCCUUAGUCUUUUCCAAAAUCAUCUAUAUGUCCCUUAGUCUUUUCCAAAAUCAUUUUGCACACAAUAUCGAUCUUACUUCAACUUCUAAAAGUUUACAACCACCAUAGAUCGAAGAUUUGUCUUUUGUAAGAGAAAAUAAGACUUGAGAUAAGAAAAAAAAAAGAAGAUUUACACCCAAAGAAAAAAAGAGAUAUGAUGUUAUCGAUACUAAAAUCGGUUUGUAGAAGAGACAAAAUCAUCAAUUACUAUGUGCAAGAACUUUAACUGUUUAAAUAAUUUUAUAAAUGUAUCUGUUGUAGAAGUGAUUCUAACGUUCAUUUAUUUGAGAUGAUGUAGGAAGAGGUGGAGAUCAUGGAUGUUACGGUCGAGGCGGUUAAAACAAUUUUUCUCUUUCUUUUUUUCAUUUUGCAGAGAAGAAAUAAACUGUUUUGCUUUAGUUAUUUUUAUUUUCUAAUAAUUUUUAAACAUGCCACAUGUCAAAAUAUUAUUGGUAUAGUGACUUGCGCUUUAGUAUAUAAACUAGUGUUUGGGUCUGUACUACAUACAUGCAAAAAAAAAUUUGAAUUCGUUAUAGCCAUAAUAUAGCUAAAAUUUUAUAACACCUUCUAGCCAUAAUAAGCUAAAAUCUCUAUGUUUACAAUAUAACUUUAAUCUUGUCCAUACAACACCAUCGAUAUGCCAUAUUCACCUUUCUUAUGGCAGGCUGAGCUAGUCAUUGUUUCUCCCUAUAUCCAAAACAAAUCAAGCUAUAUUCACCUUUCUUAUGGCAAGAUAAGCUAGUCAUUGUUUCGCCCUAUAUCCAUAACAAACAAAAAAAUCACAAAAGAAAACAUUUCUUCAGAAAAAAACUUUAAAACUUUCCAUUUAACUUAGAGAAAACUGGCAAAAUAUUUGCUUUAGUAUUUUCAUAAUUUGAGUUUAAAAUUUAUAUGUGCAACCGCUGCCUUGAUCUAGCUUCCUCCUCCUAUAAAUAAUCUGCAAAAAAAAAACUUCAAGUUGAACAAUACAAAAAAAUGAAUAAGAGAGUAUUACUUUGAGAAGCAGAGAAAAAUAGGUUUGAAAAAAAAUUUAUAACUAUAAAGCAAUAUCAAUUACACUCAAAACUCAAAAAUGAUAAAAAAGAUGAAACGAUUGAGAAAGAGAGAGCAAAUAAAUCUCAAAGAAAUGAUAAAAAGAAACAAAACGAUUGAGAAAAAGAGAGCAAAUAAAGAAGAAAUAUUUAUCUAAAAAUUAUAUUGAAGAGACAGUUUGAAUUUGUGCCAUAAAAGUAAAAAUCGUGGAGUUCUUUGUGGUAAGAGGCAGUUAUUUUUUUUAUAAUUGAUUAACUUUGUAAUUGGCUCAGACUUUUAACCAUUAUGUCAACAGUUAAUUAAUUUUGUUUUUUUUUAAACAUUUUCCACAUGUCAGUAUUUGAUUCUUCAAGCGACUUGCGCUUUAGUAUAGUAUAUAAAGGAUGAUAGAUUAUUAUUAGAUGGAUAUAUAGAUAGGUUACGUCUCCUAAAUAUGCUAAAGAAUAUAUUCAACCAAAUAAUUUUAAUCGAUCUACAUUUAUGUUUUUCUUCAUGAAUUCAAAUAUUUUAACAAUAAAAUCAAGAUUUCAUGCCUAAUACCAUAAUCAGUUAUAGAAAUUUCUUCAGCAUUUAUUUUAAUAUUUUUUUAACUAAACAUUUAUGGAGAGUUUUGUUCCCAUAAUUUUAAGUUUCUUUAUGAUUUUGUAAAUAUCCAAACUUUUUCUACAAGUUAUUUUUCUUAUAAUAAAGCCAUCAACUCCUUAUUCUAUAAUUACAAUAAAAUCCAUAUCUACCCAGGUCUUAAUAUCGAGAUCAUUAUGUCGAAAAGAAAUCCCGAAAUCAUGAUGGCACCUACCAUGAUUUUUUUCUUCCAACUUUUUGUCAAAAAUAUUUUUAAUUUUUCCGAUAAUUGUAAACAAUUAAACAAAAAACUGUUUAAUGUAUUUUCAAUAAAAAAAAUAGUUUCGGAAUUUUGAAAAAAAUAUUAAAUUAGGUCUAAGCGGAUCUAAAAAGGCCAAUAUAAUUAUCGUGGUCUAAAUAGACAACCUUAUUAGAUCUUAAAAUUUAAUAGUUCUUUGCGGUUGAAAUUUUAAAUGGGACAUGUUUAAACAUAGAGGAUUUACUUAUUUUAGCAUAUCUAACCAAAAAUAUCAACUAGGAUUAAGCGGAUCUAAAAAAGAUUAAUAUAAUUAUCGUGGUCUAAAUAGACAACCUUAUUAGAUCUUAAAAUUUUAUAGCUCUUAGCGGUUCAAGAUUUAAAUGGAACAUGUUUAAACAGAGCGAAUUUACUUAUUUUAGCAUCUCUAACCAAGCAUUUGAUACGUUUAUAUUGCAUUUUCAUAACAUAAGUCAUCUCGCGCUUUUAAAGCGCAUGUCAAAAUCUAGUCUAUUCUAUUAUAACUGAAGUAUAAAACAAUACUUACCUAUUUUAAGUGAUUUCAUACAUUUUUAUUGAUUUUUUAACUAAUUUUAACCACUUCAUUUAUUGGAUUUUCAAAAUAAUUCGACAUCAUUUAUUACAAAAAUACAAAACAGAACUUAUCUAUUCUAAAUGUUUUAUUACAGCUUUUACAUUCUUUUUCACUUUUUCUAACUAUUUCAUUAGUUUCACUUAUGAUAAUGAUCCAACAUCAUUUAUUUGUUGUUACCCACAAUAAGUUCACAAAUUUGAAUCAAAUUGCUUUAUUCGUGACAAGAACUCAAGCCGGUUAGCAAAUAAUUUUUAUUUUGUUUACAUAAUCAUUAGACGAGGGCACCCAUGUAUCCGCUCGGGUACAGAUCAAGUUUUUUGAGUAUCUCUUUUUUUAGUUUUAAAUUAAACUCUGUCUAAAUAUUGUAAAUUUUUUAACCUAAAAAAAUAUCCAAAUAACUUGUAUGGUUAUUAAUAUCAUUAAACAAUUUAUAAAAAAGACUAAAAAUUAACAUCCGGUCAAGAUGUAGUUUAAUUGUUACAUAGUUAGUUCAUUAGCUUCAAUCAAUAACAUGAAUGCGUAAAUGUAAGCCUAUGAGAUACCAAAUACAGCAAAAAGCAAGACAAAAUAAUGUUUCUAUAUCAAAAGAUACACAUAAUUGUGAUAUCGUGGCACAAGGAAUGAUAACUUUUGGUUAUCGUGAGCUCGUAGUCAAAUACUCAAAUAGGUAUCAAACAUUUAAUAUAAGGGAAUCUCAACUAUACAAACGUUAAAAAAAAAAAACCUUUUUCGUCUUUCCCCCGAGGUACUAUGGCACACACCUGUAUCUUGCAAAAAACCUCCGACGAAUAACCACCACACACACAUACGUGUUUUAACUCGCACUCCAAAAAGCUUCACUUUCGCAAUAGGAAAACAAAAUUUCAUAUCAUAUUGUGAGCCCUACUUCCACUUCCUCCGCCGUAUGACGCCGCUCCAAUGGUGGUCAAACAAUGCUCAACAGAAUCAUUUUUCAUCACAUGUCUAUUAGAAAACUUGUCGACGAUUCUCUUUGUUGGUCUCGCUACAAGAUUCUCCCAAGCCUCGUCUGCUUCUUCUUCAUUAUGUUUCAAGAACACUUCCGUGGCGUCCACAUGGUGCAUACACGACUUCCACUUCUUGCUCAGGCGUUGAAUCUUUUGUAACUGUCGACAAGCUAAUAUCUCUGUGUUCUGUUUGAUCUUUUUAACCGCUACGUCAAGCAUCUUUCUUUGUGUGGCACGGUCCACUAGAGAUUCGUACCGUAAGUACUCGUGGAGCUCGGGGACUCCGAUAGCUCGUCGUAUCCCGACAGAAUAAUCCGCUUUGGGAUCAUAUACUUGUCUUACUUCAUCUAGUAAUCCUGCUUCCAUCAUACGAUCGACACGUUUUGAGACGAAAGAGUUAAGAACUGGUAAGGAAACGUCGACCCAAAUGAAACAACAUUCGUAGUUGUUUAACAAUGGUCCAGACGAAUGGUUCGCAAGUGCUUCGAUGUAUGAGUUUGAUCCACCGGCUACUAUAGGAAGCUUGUUGUUAGCUGAGAGUGUUGAGAUCUCUUGUGACGCAAGGAGAGCGAAGUCGGUGGCCGUUAGGUUUCCAUCUUCCGAGUCAAAUACCCCGAGCAAGUGGUGAGGCACGCCUCGACAUUCUUGAGGUGUCACUUUAUUUGUAAGGACGUCGAGGCCCUUGUAAACUUGGAUCUUGUCGGAGUUUAUGAUAUCUGUUUGAAACCGUGUUGCUAGGUCGAUGGCGAGACGAGACUUGCCGGAUCCAGUGGCUCCCAUUACGAAGACGACUUUUUCGUGAGGAUGGAGGAAAGAGUUGACGUUGACAAUGGAUGGUUUGUUUUUGAAGCUCAAGAUUGGUUGUACCUGCUUCGGUGCUGAGAUUGAGAAUUUCAUGAUGAAUUGACUUUUUGCUGGGCGAAAAAGAUAUAUUUUUUGUUGGUUUGUCCUUUUGUAAGACCGCCUCAACUUAAAAUCUAGAAUUCCUAAAAUUUAUGAUUCGAAAGAUCAGAGCCUUGAGAGAAUGUGUGAGAGAAAAUUGUGAAGUGUAGAAAAUGAUUUACAUGUUUUUAAGUUUUGAGGUACAAGGAGACUUAUAUAUACCCUUACGACCUUUUAAAAAUAGAUUUAAAGGCCCCAUCUAUAAAAAAAUCGGCCUAAUAAUUUUUAUUUUUUUAUAGAAAUCUGAUGGUAAUUUCACAAAAACUAAACAAAAAUACCAGAAGGCCAAACAAAACAUCGAUUAUUUCGUGUAUAGAAACUAUUUACCAUAAAAUAAAUGCAUUUUAAGUAUAAGAUUAAAAAUAACAUCAAUAUAUUUAGAAAUCUUAAAAAAUAAAGAUAGAUUUCACUGUAAAUAAAAAUAAACUAUAAAUAAAUUAUUUUUAUUUAUAUACAAUUUAUAUAAAUUAAUCAUUUAUUGAUAUUAAAAACAUAUUAUUACAUAAAUUUUUAUCUUAUUAUCUCAUAGAGAUUGUGUCAUAUUUUACAGUGGUCUAACUCACGACCUAAGAAAUUUAUUAAUUUAUCAUUUAUAUUUAUUUAAAGUGUAUUCAUUUAUUGAGUUUCUACUAUAUUUACAACAUAUAGGUUUGGAUAUAUACCAUUAAUCCCAUUCUCAUGUAAGUUAGUGCUAGUAUCUAAUAUUUUUAAAAUGAAAUUUAUAUUUUCAAAUGUAAUAAUUUUUUUAAUCAUAUCAAGAACUUAUAAAAUAUCAAAACAUGGUUACAUAAUCAUUACAGAAAAUACUAAUUAUUCUUGUACACAAAUCAUUACACAUUAACUUGAAUAAGAAAAUAAUUAAUGUACAUUUUGUUUCUUUUUUUCGUCCGGUCUAGUCUUGAACAUUUUGCAUAUGUUCCCUCUAUGAAUGCGGUUUGUGUUCUAUUCAGACAAUACACAGACCACACAUAGAACUAGAAGUAAGAUUGAAAUAUAUAUUGAUAUAUCCAUUAGUACACAUAUUCAGGCGAAUGUAUGUCACCAUGUUUCUUUCUCUUCUCUUUUUUUUUUCUUUCUGGGGACUGGGGGCAUAUAUAAACUUAAAUGAGAGAUAUUAGAGAAAAAAUUAAAUUUGUUUUUGUUAUUAUUAUAAACACACAAGAAAGACGGUGUUAUUUAUCUUCCGCCAUAAUUUGGAGGCUUACGUCAUAUCGGACGCAAAGCUGUUUCCAAGCUACAGUGGGACACCACAGAAAUUCAAACAACCAUUCUUUAAUUAUAGUAUAGUCCCCCACAUAUUCUAUUAUCAAUUAUACACACGAGCGGGAAAAUUAAAUAACACUGUCCACCUCACUUUUGUGGCCUGUAUGUACAAGGUUGGUCUUUUUUUUUUUUUACGACGGACGGAAUUCUAUUACUCAAACUUUUGAGGUGGUCUAAAUAACCAGACCGGAAUAGAAUAAUCAAUAAAAUAACUCUUUUUGGAAAAACCUCAUAGUCCUAGCUAAAGAGUCAGAAAUAUGAUUUUGAGCUCGUCGAAUAUGAGUAAUCUUGAAAUUCGGAAAACAUACAUGCAAGAUCUUUAUCCUCUCCUAUUCAGUUGCAAAGCUUUGGCUAAACAUGGGGUUCCUUAAUCAUGGCAAUCAGAUCCAUACAAUCCGUUCCAAAGCUCUGGCAUGUCGAAUGUUGAAGCAUGUUCUCCAUCAUCCAUCGCAGUGCUUCUACUUCUGAAUGCAAUGCAAACUCUCAUCGAAUGUAAUUUCGUAUCCCCAUAAAUUGAACCUUUCUAAAACUGUCCAUCCAAACACAUCCACACCCACUAAACUGUGAUGUGGAUGUCCAUGACUAGGGGUGGCCAUUCGGGUUCGGGUCGGAUAUUUCAGAUUUUCGGGUAUUUCGGUAUAGAGGUGUAGAACCCAUUCGAGCAUUUCUGUACUUCGGGUCUGAUUCGGGUAUAUUUAGUUCGGAUUUGGUUAUUUCGGAUCAGGUUCGGAUAUUUAGAAUUAAAAUUAAAAUUUCAUUUUUCAAGUUUCUUGUAUUUAAAAAUAUAACUUUCACUUAACUGAUUUUUUAUUUUUAACAGAUUGAAUGAUUAAUAAAUUUGGACAUAACAUUUUAAAACUAAAAAGACACUAAUUUGGUUAUUGUUUUUAAAUUUCAGAUGUAAUUUUUGUUAAUUCGUGAAACAAAAAACUUGACAUGCAUUUUAAGUGAGUAUAAAUUAUUCCCUCCAUAAUUAUAUGUAUAUUAAAUGAAUUUAAAGUAUGUGUAGUAUCAAUAUAAAUAUUUUAAAUAAAAUGAGAGAUAUAAACUAGAAAUAUAAUGUUAGUAAUACGUAUAUUCGGUUAUCUUCAGAUAUCCAUUCGGGUUUGGAUAUUACCCGUUCGGAUUGGGAUAUCCAAUCUCCUAAUUCAAUACCUGUUCGGGUAUUUAGCUACUUCGGUUCGGAUUUCGGUUCGGUUUUUUGGAUCGGGUUCAGAUACGGGUUCAGGUAUCAGGUAAAAUGCCCACCCUAUACCCAUCUAACAUGAAAAUAUUACCCAAGCUUAAGACUUGUGGUUCCUCAAUACUGUGAUCUUGUAGAACUGUUGGAACCAUCUCAUUUGCAUUGAACCAGGCUUGACACUCACUCUCUGCAUAGUGAACUAACUCUAAUGGAUCCUUUUCUAUCCCCCUAAAGAAUUUGUCAUUUUGGGCCUUCCAAAUAUACCAGAUGAUACAAGGAUAAGGAUCCCUGUCUAAAUUAAAUCUAGCUUGACAAUGAUUUUCUCUCUCUAGAAGAGAUAAUUCAUAUUAGCGUAAAUACUCGGUAGCCGAAAGAUAUCUGGAAUUGUUGGUGUCGCUGAUAGGGACCAAGCUUGUAAAGCUGGUGGGCACUCGAAUAUGGCAUGAGUGACAGAUUAUUCUAGUUCUCUACACUGUGGACAGUAUUUAUCGCAUUUCAUAUUACGCCGUAUUAAAUUUCUCGUUACUGCCACAUGACUUGUUAUCAAUUGCCGUAUAAGAUGACAUAUUUUUUGAGGCGCUUUUAUCAUCCAAGCAAAGGCUUGGAGCUUAGUUAUACUUGGCUCCAACACAUCUUUUUCUUCCUCAGCUUUUAACAAGUUUCAAGCUACCCAAUAUCCAGAUUUAACCGUGUAUUGGCCAUUCGUAAUGUAUUUUCAACAGAAUGUAUCACGGCGAUGAGUUGAGCUUAUGGCCAAACUCCUUAUGAAAGAUAUAUCAGCAUGGCUAACAUAAUCCUCUAGUAAUCCAACAUUCCAUUCCUUUGAUUCCUGAUUAAUAAGGUCGUUGACUCUCAUGUACAGGUGCAAAACUGGGGCUGAAGGGUGAUCCAGCCUAGUUGGUGUUGUAGGGAUCCAAGGAUCCUCCCACACCUUGACCUCAUAUCCAGAAUGUAUCUUAUUUCUGAUUCCCAAUAGCAGAAGCUUUCGUGCCACUGUAAUACUGCUCCACACAUAGGAUGGGCUUCUUACAGAGCUUACUCGUAAAUGCGAACUCAAUCUGUAGUAUCUUCCCCUCAAAACUCGAGCCACUAACGAAUCAGGAUAUUGAACUAGCCUCCAUAAUUGUUUUGCUAGUAAAGCCAAGUUGAACUCAUGGAUCAUAUAGAAACAAAUUCCUCCCUCCUUCCUUGGUAAGCAGAGCUUCUCCCAUUUUUCCCUAUGAAUUCCUCUCUUUGGGGGAUUUGAGCUCCAUCAAAAUUGUGCAAUGUCACUUAUGAGGUCCUAACAUAUCUCCAGCGGAAAAGAUUAUUUCCUCCUUUUGAAAGACAUCUAUCUGUCCAUUCAUUCACUCUACAUUAAUUUGUCCUUGAGAAAUGAGAAGAGUUUGCAUUUGGAUCCACUAAUAUCUUUCGGAAUUCCUAAGUAUGUCCCUAUUCCUCCUUCAUUCUUGAUUCCAAGUGUGUCUGACAUUUGCGUUGAUCCUCUUACCAAAGAGUAGAGGGGAUUUGUCAAAGUUAAUACAUUGGCCUGAUGCUUGUCCAUAUUUCUUGACUACUUUCAUCAAUUCUUCACAUUCACAUAGCUCUGCCUUACAGAAGAAAAGGCUAUCAUCAGCAAAGAGAAAGUGAGAUACCGAGGGACACGCUGUGUAACACGCAUCCCCGUUAUCUUCCCUUAGUUCUCUGCAUGAUUAAAAAAGCUAACGAGCGCUUCCGUGCAUAGAAUAAAGAUGAAAGGAGACAAAGGAUCUCCUUGACGUAGACCUCUUUCCGAAACAAUAUUUCCUCUUGGUUGCCUAGGUAAUCCAAAUUUCUGAACAGUACCAUCUUUCGCAUAAUUGCUUCAAUGGACGACCAUUCCAUCCUGUUAUACGCUUUACUCAUAUAUGUCUUAAUGGCCAUCUUUUUAUUGCGUCUGCUUGGUUUAGUUCUCAGAGCAUGAAACAUUUCUUGGACAAUCAUAAUAUUGUAUGAAAUCUAUCUUCUAGCAACAAAGGCUGACUGGAUUUCUGAAAUUCUGUCUAGUAGAACUUUCUUUAAUCUCUAGCCUAAGACCUUAAAGAUUAUCUUGUAGCUAACAUUGCACAAGCUAAUGGGCCGGAACUGAGACAUCUCAUUAGGUUUAUUUGUCUUUGGGAUGAGACAUAUAUUUGUAUCAUUUAGCCCACUGGCAAUCGUCCAUUCAAAAAGAAAUUGAUUAACCAUGUGAAUUAAAUUUUCCUUUACAAUAUCUCAUAAUUUCUGAUAAAAAGAACUGUCAUCCCAUACAGACUUGGAGGUCUUCUCUGGAAAUAUAGCAAAUAGUGCUAAUUUAACUUUCCAUAAUGAUUGGAACAGUAAGAUUGUCAUUAAUUGAUUUUGUAAUCGUCGUGGAUACUUCAGAUAACGCUUCCUCUAUAUUUUUUUAGGUUAGAGGACUCAAAGGUUGGUCUUUAUAGACAUUUUCUCGAAGAUGUUAAUAAUAUGGUGUGUUUAUUAAUUUUGACGUAUAUUAACUUUCAUAAUUUUGGCAAAUUAAAAUUAUGUUUCAUCCCGUUACGAGGCCAAUCGGAAUAACAAGUGAAAACUAGUUAUGUCCAUAUCCAUUUUUAGGAAAUAUUUGAUUACUGGAAAAAAAUAUUUAUGACAACUAUUUUCAUUUGAGAAAUAUUAAACCUGUUAAAAUACUUUCCUGUAACUUAUAGAUUUAUUAUAGGUUAAUUUUUUUAUUUAAUUAUGUUUUUAAUUAUAUUAAAAUAGUAAUAUUAUAUUUUAUAAGAUACUUUAGUAAAUAUUUGUAAUGAAAUUCAGUUCAAAAUCUAAAUAAAAUUCUUACUUAAAAUUAUUCAAACAUUAUAUAGGAUAAAACCUAAAUAGUUUGAGUUGACGUAGAUCACAAUUGGAAAACAAUUAUACGUAAACAUGUUUAAACGCUUUGGAAUUUUUAAUUUUAACAUUGCAUAUCUAUUUCAAAAACUUAAAAAAUAUUGCUACAUAAAUUUAUCUAUUUUUUUUUAUUUUAUGAAAUAAAUUAUUGUUUCUGGUAGAUUGAAAACGAAAAAUAUUGAAAAUAAAAACAAAAAAAAUCAUUUUUUAAUUUGUGGAUAGAAAAAGAAAAAGUAUAAAUAUAUACAAAUUAUCAUAGCCAAAAAAUUAGGGUUACUUUGUUAAUUUGAUUUAAUUUUAGUUAUUCCUCCUAAUAUCCCAGUAAAUUUGGUGCAUGGGAAUAGGUUUUCUAUUGUUUUCUGCCAUGAGCAGUUUCUGUGAGGCAUUUAAACUGUUUAUGACCAAGAAAAAAAUUAAAUUCUAAAACAUCUACCGGUUUGAGAUGCAGGGAAUACAACCUACUCUUCUUUUUAAUCCAUGGUUAGUCAAAUCAGAGGGAGAGUUUGUGGUUUAAAUACUUCUAUUAUGAUCCCUAAGCUUAAUACUUUACUAUUAAUUUAUUCUCAUUUUGUUAUUUGGUUCUAUCCCUAUAAUGAAACAACAUUGCCUACAAUUUAGCUGAAAUUGAUUAUGGAAAUUAGUUGUAUCUAGUGGAAAAAGAGAAUUUAAUCUUCCAUUUAGUGGGUUCUAAUGCUUAACUAUGUUCUCUCCGUUUCAUUUUAAUUGUCAUUUUAGAUUCAGGCACACAAGUUAAAAAAAAUUAAUUUUAUAGAUUUAUUAAAUAAAAAUAUUAUUAUCAAUACCUAACUAUAUUUCAAUCAAUAGAAAAAUAGAUUAAAUAUAAAAUUAAUAAAUUAUGAAUUAAAAUUAUAAACAAUAUUUAUUUUGAUAUGAAAAAUUUUAUUUUGCAACAACUAAAUUGGAACGAAAGGAGUAAGUUAUUUUGUGUGUUCUUUUUCUACCUAACUAAAAGAUUUUUUAUUCAUAACAUAUUAAAUGAAAGCUUUUACAUGGAAGUAGUAUACAUUCUAGUUAAAGACAUAAACAAGACCCCAAUCGCAUAAAUAAAUCACAAUCACAUCAUAAUUUCAAUUAGGGAUAUUUUAAGAAAAGUCUGAAUAUAACCAGUAUUUUACAUUGGAGAAGCCACAACUUAGCCUGAAAUAAAGCAUAUAACGAUGUUAGUGAGUAGUGACCACCUAAAUGGAAAGAAAGUGAUAAGAUGAUAAUUAGUCAAACCACCAGUUAAAAGAUAAGUUAUCGUUAAUGAUGUUAACUGAAUUUAACGUCAAUUAUCACUAGGAUUUAUAAUAGCGGAAUAAUUGUUUUUUUUUUGUUCAUCUAUUAACAAUUUGGAAUAUUUGAUUUUUUUUGUUCAUCUAUUAGGAUUUUGUAAACCAAAUUAGAGACUCUAUAUCUCCAUGAAUCGGUUAUCUCUAAACACUGUAUACAAAAAAAAAUUCUUGUAUAUUAUCUGCCGUAUAUGUAUAAUCGCAAAAAUACUGAAUCUUUUUUACAUCUUCGAAUCUCUUCGAAAUAUGUUGCAAAACAGAUCUUCGAUUAAUUAUUGACAAAAUAAGCCCUUUUUCAAAAAGAAAUUUUUCAAAAAGAAAAAAAAAAUUAUUAACAAAAUAAUUGAAUAUGAUUAAGUUUUUGUAGAAUAAUGAUAACAGACUCUAAUUUUGCAAUUAAUCAGUUUUUUAAUUAUAUUUAAUAUCAUCAACUGUAUAUAGCAAAUCACUUUAAGCGAUGUUUUAAGACAGCAUUAAUGAAGUUACCAUUUUUAAUGCAUAUAAACGUUGUUGUUUGACUCCUGAUAACAUUAUUAUACUCGUUUUAAAGUGGCAAACUGGCAAUAUUCACUAACUCAUCAUCUCGAAUAAUUGGACACUGUUGUUUUUAACAAACUGGAACAUUGGUGUUCAAAAAAAAAAAAAAGUCUCUAUCUCACAACUCUCAACUCCGUUUCUGUUAGCGUUUAAUCUACACGCCGCCUCACUCUACCUCUCUACUUUGAUCAUUAAUACAAACCUUAACAUACAAAAUGUUUUAUUGAUUAUAGUUUAAAAACAUUGUUUAAGCUGUACAGAUUCACUAAAUAAGUUUGAUCGCCUAAACCUUCUCACAUGCACUACUAUUGUUUCAGAAAUCAGAAAUUUCACUAGUAGUCUUAUUUAUUUCUGGAAUCUACGAUCUAUAGGCAUCAGCGGUGUCACUAUAACGCUUUACAUUCAAAACGUACUCUGCUAGUCUGCUUCCUUCUAACAUGACCUGCACCGAAAACUCGCAUUAUAUUAAACUGAGCAUAGAGCGUUUUAGGCGCGGAGCGAACAACUCUCUAGUAGCUCAGUUACGAAUAAACAUCCUCCUUGUUUAGCAAAAAAAAGAAACGAAAGAAGAAUAAACAUCUUCCUUGCAUGAGCGGAGAGAUUACAUAUUAAUGAAAGUUGUGAGAGAGGCGCUAAGGCCUCUAAAACUCAUUUCACUCCGGUUAUAGUUAAAAACAAAAGUGGCUUUGUUUCAUUCAAUGGUCAGCGUUUUACAUAUGACAAUUAUAACCAUUACACCAAGUUGAUUUUAUAAGUAGCGUAACUAGCGUUCACAUAAAUCACAUAUUACAUACAACUUUAUUAAAAGUAAAAGUUAAUUCAAAAUUUAUUUUUGAUUAUUCUUAACCAAUUUUUAUCUUUGUUAGGUGCUAGAUCCAAUCCAAACAUACAAAUAACUUCUUGCGAUUUUUAGAUCAAUAUUUGAUAAAUUUUAAAAUAUUGUGACGGAAGUAAUAUUUUCUCAUGCGUAGAUGAAUUAACAACGUUUUCUAAUGCUAAAAUGACCAGUUUUCUAUUACAAAAAAAUAUAAUAAAUCUAAUAUGUGAGUGAGUUUUACUUCAAGACACUUUAUUUUUCUUUCAAACAGAACAAUGAAUAAUGUAAUACUAAUAGAUAUAUUUUCGAAGUAAUUUUAUUUAAAAUUUAAUAUAGAAAAUGAAAAUAAAUUAGAAUUGAAGAAUAUUUAACUCUGAAAUGAAUUUUGAAAAUAUAAAAUGAAUAUAUAUAUGAUUUUUUCUGUAAAAAAAAUUAUAAAUGAAUAUACGUGUUUAUAUUUUUAAUUUUUGAUCUCCUAAUGAAUAUCCUGUUAAUUCAUCCAAAAUAAAAUUCAUCCUGGUGGUUAAGAGGAAAAAACUUGUGUUGCUGAGUUUUAAAGUCAUUAAUUAGCAUCAUGUCCGAGUCGAAUUUAUCUCAUGGCUACAAUAUUGUAAGCAAAUUUCACUUUAUUUGGUACCUGAUUAAUUAUUUAAUGUUUUUUACAACAAAUAACUGUGUUUAAUUAUCUUUUCUUCUACUAGAUUGUAUUAUUUUAUAUCUUUUUAAAAUCGGUGGUCUACGUCAACUCGUGUACGAGUAGUCAUGGUGUUUCAUUACACUUGAUUAAUGCCCUCGACAUACCGUGCUUUCUCGCAUUUCUUUAUUAAUGCUCUCGUUUGAGAUUAUAUUCUGUUGUAUAAUAAAGGUGAAGUAUUUAUAUAGGGAAACUUCGGUUAUGUUUUUCGGACUUCAAGAUCAGUUACUUUCCAAGGACGCAGAAUGAGAUUGCAGAUUCGUUGGUUAGGAAUGCACGUUCAUUUCAUAGAUCCUUAUGUUUUAUUGGUUGUUUUAUUCCGAUCUGGCUUCCCAGACCACCUCAAGUUUGAGUAAUAGAAUAGCCGUUUGCCGGAAAAAAAAAAAAAACUAUAACGGACCAUGAUAUUAAGCUUCUACCCACAGCAACACUUAGGCUACGAUACAGUGUAUAUAUUUGUGUAUAAUGGCCAAAAUAUCCCACCAUGCGCGUGGAAAACUGUAGGCCCCACCGGAUCUUUCGUUUUGCCUAACCUCUGGAAACUGAAACGUUUAGAAGUUUUAUAAAAACAACACCCCGACAAAGACGAAAUCUUUAGAGAGUGUCCAAGUUCGUGUGGCUUUCAGAGGAAAAGGGAUUCUCUAUCGUGAGUCGGUGUGGUAUAGAGCGAGUAAAGGGAUAUCAGAAGCUUGGGUUUGCGAGGCAGUUGUAAUUGGCGUUGGGAGGCGCGAUUGAAGAGGGUUAACAGAAGGAAUCGAGGUACAAACUUAAAUCGGCGAUUUGCAGUCUAUCAGAAUCAUUAAUUUAGCCUAUCAUUUUUCCGCCAAACCAAUCGUGUUUACGGUACUUAAAUCGACCAUUUCCACUAUAUUGCAGAUCUGUGAAGAAGUUCUGAACGGCGGCUGAGUAGAAAGGUAAAUUUAUAGCAUUGUUGCAUGCGAUUAAGUUCUUAAAGGCAAUCUGUUAUAUGUCGCGUUUCGCGUGUUUGUUUAUGUGUUUUAGUGUCUGCAAAUCAUUUCUGGGUUUGGUUGGGGUGUUGGAAGACAAUUAAAAAAAAACAAUACUAUGUUAGACAAAGAAUAGUAUGAUGUGGUAAGGUGACAUGUAUGUAUGGUUAAGCGAUUGUGUCACAUGCGAUUUAGUUUAGCGAUUCUGUUGCAUGCGAUUAUGUUUUUAAACGAUAUCUGUUAUAUGUCGAGGUUCGCAUGUUGGGCUAUGUCGUUGGUGUCUGCAAAUCGUUUCUGCGUUUGGUAGUGGUAUUGAAAGAGAAUUACUAUAACUAUACUAUGUUAGAUAAAGAAUAGUAUGAUGUGGUAUGGUGUCAUGUAUGGCUGGUUAAGCGUUUUCUGUGCUAUUGACUUCAAUAUGUGUCUACUUGGUUUGCAACAACACUAUAACUACCUGCAUGUAUGUCGAAGUUGGGCUUGUUAUUGUCUUAGGGCGUCAGAAUAAUUAAUAUAUUUUGUUAUGCUCGUAUAGUAGGUCUGAUGUUGUGUCUUUGCAGGGAAAGAAUGGAAGAGUUAGGUUUGCCAGAGCGCUUGUUUCUGACCGGAUAUGAACCUACAGGGCGAAAAAGAAUUAACAACUAUUUCAAUUUGCGGUGGAUUGAGGUCGUAAAAGCAGCACUUUCAGAUUCUCAACAGGAGAUGUUGGCGGAAUCUCAGUUUAGACAACUCAUACUAAUGGGGUCGCAUACAUUUUCAGUUAUGUUUGCACACCAGAUGUUGUCCCGUCAGUUGGUUACCCGGAAGCUGUAUGAGCUGUGGUGGUUGUUCUGCUUAUACAUAUAUCGUCGAUCCAUUUCAUUACCUAGAAACCUCAGAAUGGAAGUGGAGGUGUCUCCACUUUCUACCUGUUAUCACAAUUUCCCUGACUAUACUAUAUAGCGUAUAGUCUGGUAAACUUGUAAUCCAAAAAUGUUAAAUGUUUUACAUACUCUAUAUCCCGCAAUAAUACACUGACCCAUUCCCUUGUGAUAGUUAGACUUCACUUCUUAUCAUUUGUUCUUUUUUUUCCAUAUAUCCUUCUUCGAUGUUAUCACCUACAAACCUCAGCCGGCGAAAUACAGGUGUGUUCCCUUGUAUGCAUGUUCCCAAAAUGUUCCAGACUAUUCUGCCAUCGUAUGGUCUAGUCAUAUUGUAAACUACAAUUGGGUCGGUAAGACAACGUAUUUUGUGUCCGCAUUUCUCAAAUACCUCACCCUCUUCCAAGGAACAGGCUUUACCAUGUUAUAUGUAUAAGCAGAACCUAAGCAGUUUGUUGUGAAAUCGGGAGCACUAGUCGCGUAUUUAAAAUGCAGUAUCGUUAGUUGCCGGCUUGUAACUCAUUGGUGAUGUUUUGAAUAAUUAAGUGCGUGGUUAGGAUAUAAAAGUGGCAGACUAUUCUAUUAUAGGUUUGGUACAACUCAUUUACGCACAUGCUAUUUUUUCUUUCCUCUCCGUGGACACGCACACGCGCUUGAAAGGUCAAGUCCGUCACUUUUGGCCCAAACCUGUCCCUUCCUUGAGCCGUUAUGGUAGCAUGGCUAUAUUGUCUAAUUGUUUCUCAAUUAUGAAUAUACACCAAAUUCUCCCAUUUAUAUAUCUGAAUUUAAUUAUAUUAUUCUUUUAUGUGUUUGGUAUAUUUGGAAGAAGAAAGAAAACGAUAGUGGGAGAGAGAGAUAAAAGUGAUGUUUUUGUUUCUUGUUAUGAAAGAGAGAUACGUAAAGUUGCUCAUAUAUAUAAUUUCAAGUGAACAUGAAACCCUUUAUACAGAGGGAAGAAGUUCGUUAAACACACAAAAAGACAAAACCAUUAGACUGACACGUGCAGUGGUGAUGGUGCAAAUCUGACCAAGGGGAAAGGACAAGUAUUCAAGCUGGAUAAUCAUCCAAUUUUGAUAUUUAUCUUCUAACACUCCCCUUUGAUUAUCCAUCUUGUAUUACGUAGUGCCUCGUUAAAAACUUAGUCAUGGAAAAACCCGUUGGGACAAAAACCAUGACAAGGGAAAAAGAGUACACUGCCAUAAUCUUCCCCUAAAAAUAAUGGACAUAGCUUUUUCUUCACAGGUCACGUAAAUGCUGCAUUCCGAUACUAUAGUUUCGGAAUGUUGUAGUAGGAAGAGCUUUUGUGAACAAGUCAGCCGGAUUGUCGCAUGACCGUACAUAUUCAAUGUCCACUUCUUUAUUUUUCUCGUGUUCCCUUAUGUAUGAGAAAAAUCUUGGAGGGAUAUGCUUUGUUCUGUCGCUUUUGAUGUAGCCUUCUUUGAGUUGAGCGACACAAGCUGAAUUGUCUUCAAAUAUUUUCGUCGGCUCUUUCUCGUUAACUAUUCCGCUUGAUUCUUGUAUGUGGUGACUCAUUGACCGAAGCCACACACAUUCUCGACAUGCUUCGUGAAGCGCAAUAGUUUCUGCAUGAUUCGAAGAUGUCGCAACCAGAGUUUGUUUUUGAGACCGCCAAGAGAUCGCGGUUCCACCAAUUGUAAAAACGUAGCUGGUUUGCGAUCGAGCCUUAUGAGGAUCUGAUAAGUAUUCUGCAUCUGCAAAACCAACCAUACCAAACUUGGGUUUUCUAAUAUACAUUAACCCUAAAUCAACUGUAACUUGGAGGUAACGGAAUAUGUGCUUUAUUUCGUUCCAAUGCCUGCGAGUAGGAGUAGAGCUAUAUCUUGCUACUAGAUUAGUAUCAAAAGCAAUAUCAGGCCUAGUACAGUUUGCAAGAUACAAAAGCAUACCGAUAGCACUAAUAUAAGGUACUUCAGGACCUAAUAUCUUCUUGCUAUCUUCGCAGGGCCUAAAUGGAUCUCUCUCAACAUCGAGAGUUCUACCAAUCAUUGGAGUACUCAAAGGAGUUGCUUUAUCCAUAUAAAAGCGUUUCAAUAAUCUUUUCGUAUAAUUUGAUUGAUGCACAAAUAUUUAUUCUCGGAGAUGCUCAAUCUGGAGCCCAAGACAAAACUUUGUCUUGCCGAGAUCUUUCAUUUUGAACUCCUCUUUCAUAUGAGUUUGAGCAUCAUCAACCUCCUUUUGAGUUCCAAUUAUGUUCAGGUCAUCUACAUAUACAACAAUGAUUACAAAGCCAGAAGACAAUUUCUUUAUAAAAACGCAUGGAUACAUCGGAUUAUUCACAUAUCCUUUACUCAAAAGAUAUUCACUUAAGCGAUUGUACCACAUGCGUCCGGAUUGCUUUAAUCCGUAAAGUGAUCGCUGUAACUUGACCGAACAAAUCUCCCUGGAUUUUUUCUUUCAAUGCCCCUGGGAUUUUCAAUCCCUCAGGAAGUUUCAUAUAUAUAUCGUUAUCCAACGAUCCAUAUAAAUAUGCAGCCACAAUGUCCAUGAGAUGCAUCUCAAAAUUUUUAGACGCCGUUAGGCUCAUCAAAAAUAUAAACAUAAUAGCAUCCAUUACCGGGGAAUAUGUUUCCUCAAAAUCAAUUCCCGGUCUCUGAGAAUUACCGGGCAACCAAUCGGGCUUUAUAUCGUGUUAUUUCAUUUUUCUCAUUUACUUUUCUCACGAAUACCCACUUAUACCCAACAUGAUUUAUAUUCUCAGGCGUUAUGACUAUAGGUCCAAAGACAUUUCUUUCAUUCAGGGAGAGUAAUUCAAUUUGAAUGGUCUUCUUCCACUCCUCCCAAUCAUGUCUUUUCUGGCAUUCCAAAAUGGACCUUGGAUCAGGAUCAUCAUUUUCAUGAUCGAUCUCUUUUGACACAGAAAAAGAGAACAUUCCAUCAACAUCUUUAUCUUAUUUCAGAUCCAUAACUUUUUAUCUCGGGCGUAGUUGAUGGAAAUCUCAUACUUUUCAGUUCCCUUUUCGUCAUCUGAAUCAUCUUUAUUUAUGUCUUCAUUCAGACAUUUUUCAGUAAAAGGUUCUUCUAGAACCUUUCCAUUUAUGUCUUCUUUCAGACAUCUUUCAAUAUUAGGUUCUUCUGGAACCUUACUUUGUUCAUCCAAUUUCCUUUUCUUUCGGGGAUUUUUAUCUUUAGAACCUGCUGCCCCCCCCCCCUCUUUAACUAAACCCGAGGUUCAUUCAUUUUGUCCCCUCUUUAACUGAACCCUAGGUUCAUUCAUUUUGUUUCCAUCAGUUUGUUCUUUAGGAACAUCAACUCUUGAUGGAACAUUUUCAGCGGGUAUACAUGACUUCGUCACCCUUCUCGUAUCUGUGCACGCAUCUGGUAACUGGUUUGCCAAAUUAUGCAAAUGCACAAUUUUCUGAACUUCCAGUUCUCUUUGAUUCGUAGGGGGUUCAAGGUGUAACAUCGACGGUGUACACCAUGUAAUCUCUUUAGGAAUUCUAUUAAUUCCUCCCCCUAACACUGGAAAUUCAUCCUCAUUAAAAUGGCAAUCGGAAAACCAUGCUGUAAACAUAUCACCAGUUACCGGUUCCAAAUAUCUUAUUAUACUUGGUGACGUAUAACCCACAUAUAUUCCCAAUCUCCUUUGUGGGCUCAUUUUUGUUUUUUGUGGCGGAGCUAUCGGAACAUAUAUCGCACACCCAAAGACAGGGAGACGGGAUACAUAUGGCUCUUGCCCAGACGCCAACUGUAAUGGGGAGUAUUUAUGAUAUGCACUCGGUCUUAACCGAACCAGUGCAGCCGCAUGCAAUAUAGCAUGACCCCAUACAAAAAUUGGAGCUUUGUUCUCAAGACUAACGGUCUUGCAAUCAACUGCAACCGUUUUAUCAGUGACUCGGCCAUGCCACUUUGUGUAUGAACAUGGGGAACUAGAUGCUCCACAUCAAUCCCCAUUGACAUACAAUAAUCAUCAAAGGCUUGCGAUGUAAAUUCACCAUCAUUAUCAAGCCUUACUUUCUUAAUGGCAUACUCUGAGAACUACGUUCUCAGCUUUGUUAUCUGGGCAAUAAACUUUGCGAAAGCCGUAUUUCGUGUCGUCAAAAGAGACACACUUGACCAUCUACUAGAUGCGUCAAUCAAUACCAUGAAAUACUUAAACGACCCGCACGGUGGGUGGAUCGGCCCACAUAUAUCACCAUGUAUUCUUUCUAAAAACAUUGGUGAUUCAUUGCCUACUUUUGCUGGUGAUGGCCGAGUUAUAAGUUUUCCUUGAGAACAUGCAUUACAUGUAAACUCGCCCGUUUGCAAAAAAAUUUCGUUUUCAACGGAUGGCCAUUCGAAUUCUGCACUAUCUUUCUCAUCAUGACUGAUAGGAUGUCCUAGCCUCUCAUGUCAUAUUUUAAAUGUAUCAGUAAACUUCAUGUUUACCAUGGCAUAUGACUCAGUCAUGGUAAUUUUCGUACAAUAUAGUCCAGAGGAUAACAUUCUUACUCUUCCAAUAUAUGUCUCCUCUCGGACUUAAUGCAAAGAAAUUCAAUGCUAUCUUCACUCAUAGUCUCAAUGUGAUAUCCAUUUCUUCGGAUAUUGAUAAACUAAAUAAAAAUCCUUGCUACUGUCAAGUUAAUAGUGGUAAUUGUAAUAUUGAGAUUCAAUCCAGAGGACCAGUUUACUCCUUACUCUUAUGAGUUCAAUAUUUAGCUGGGAAACAAGUGGGGUUUCAAAAUCAAUGGUGACGCAAGUAACUAAAAUACCUAGAGAUUCAAAUUCGAUUUAAAUGAAAGCCGGCUUAGGGUUGUUCAUCGGGUGUCAAUGCGGAACCAAACAACUAUUCAAGUGCAAUGAGGUGCAGUCUAGAACUCGGAUCACUCGGCUAGAACAAUCCACUAUCGUGGACUUGUUCCCUUUGCUGAUCGGUCUUGAGUCCUAAGCUCUCACUUGGAACAAGACGCGAUAGCAAGCCUUAGAGAUCAGGUCCGAUUAGUUCACUUAAUACCCUAAUAUCUACUCUUGCUGAUUAGGGAUAUGAAGAUCAUUCAAUAUAUGUCAGUUUAUCUCCUAAGCGGUUAGCUAGGUGAUUAAACUAGAGUUCGAACAUUAAGUGAUCAAUUCAAUGCAAGCCGUAAGAACAAUAUGAAUGAAGAACAGUUAAAAUCACUUAUUUGCGUUUAGCUCAUGCGAUUGACACCCUAAAACCCUAAGCAAGCUUAGCCGACUACUCAAUCAUAAAGCAAGAUGACACAGACAUGAUUUCUGAAUAAUACUGCAUAUAAAAUAAAGUAGAAAGACAAGGGUUCAGGAUGAUCUUCUCGUGAAAUUGAGAGAUGUCGCCUUCUCCCUUACAAGUUGCUAAAUCCAAAAUUAGUUCUCUGUCCCUUCUAAAAACUAGCGUCCUCUUAGAAAUGAUUACAUAGCCUUUUUAUAUGGAGGCACUAGUGGUAAAGAGAAAGGAGAGAAAGUCUAGGGCAAACCCCUGAAAUCUUGGAGGUUUCCUUAAUAUUCGGGAACAGUCAGUCGCUUGUUCUCUUUGGGAACAACCUUUGGAUUGAUCCGACUGGAUGUUCUGCGUUAGAUAUUCGAAAAUGACUUUUUCCUUCAUGGCACUCUCUUCUUUACUCUUUCACCUGCUCCAAACCUGGAAUGAUAUCAAGUAAGCACAAAUUAGGACUGAGAAUUAACUCAAACAACACCUGUAAUGGUAUUAAAAACACCAUAUAUCAAUUCCCCCAGACUUAGAUCCUUGUUUGUCCUCGAACAAGGCCAAGCCUCAAGAACAGGGAGAAAAGUUUGAAAGAGUGGAAACUCGCUUGACCUCAAUAACCAUACUCUUACCACACAUCUCUGAAUCAUACAAGCUGUAGACUUAGACCACACACCCUUACCAAAACACCCACGAUCGCUGUUCGAAAUUCAGCUCCAUACUCUGUAUCUCAUACCUGAAAAAGGGUACACUAUCGAGACAGAACUCCUUAAAUUCAAUUAAGAACAGCGUGAGCUUCUCAUCACAUGCACUAUUCAGGGUAGACGGGCUAGGUAAGGAACAAGCUAUUUCAUGGUGGAGCUAAGAGUGUUUAGGGGCUACCAAAUUUAAGUGGAUGCAGGAUAUCGCGCAAAAUAGUAGGAGAUGACAUAUCCAUUGAUGUCCACAUCCCUUACUCGUUUCUACUUCACGGGUGCAGUUGUUCUCUCAUUUGGAUCAACCGUGGGACUGUUCUCCAUUUCUUGACUUCCCUCGCCUACUCCUCAAAAAUUGGUACCAACUCCUUGCUCAACCUUCCCAGUGACGUGUGUUUAUAUAUAUAUUUUAAUAAUACUGGGGUUGCGAGGGAGAGGCAACAUAAUGAAUGUUUCGCAGCCACCGGUGGUCUAUUCUUUUGUUUCUCACUGGUCACCAUUGUUCCUCUGGUUAGAACAUGCACUCAUAGACUGUUCUCUUGUUAGAGCAUGGUCUCAUCGACUGUUAUCUUCAUGCCUCUGGUUAGAACAUGAACUCAUAGACUGUUCUCUUGUUAGAGCAUGGUCUCAUCGACUGUUCUCUUCAUGCUUGAUCUCUCUUCUCUGAGUGUAUGACAUUAACGAGUAAGAGGCUGCGUCGAUCAUUUUCUCUCCGACCCUUUUGCACAUAUCUGCACAUAUGACACUAAAAAACGGAGUGCAUGAGGGUAAAAAUAAAGGCUUAGGCGCAAGGUGGGAACUAGCUAAAGAUGAGCUAGCCACUCAGGAUCAGCAAGAUUGGUAAAUGGAGUAAGAAGUCCUGAGUGUAAGUCUCGUUUCCCUGAUCUAGUGCCCAUAACAAGAAGAAUUUCAGUCAAGAUUAGGUUCAGGUUAGGUGGAGUUAAGUCUACCCAGUGUAACCUGAUCGGUUGAGAGCUUCUGGAGAAUCAAAUGAGAUAAGUCAGGGGUGUUCCGGGUCCAAGUGUGGGUCUUUCAUCACUGCUAAGGUCACUGGAUAAGAAAGUUAGAGCACAAGGUGGUUAAAAGAUUAUCACAACAAAAGGUCCUAAUUCCCACUAAACUUUUAGCUGACUCGAUCCUAAACUGACUCAAUAAAACAUCCAAAUGACAUAGGGACUGACUCAGAAAUAAAGACAUGGAGUAUCAGCACACAACAAGUGCUUCCCCCAGACUUAAUUUACACCAUCCUUGGUGUAAAACCAAAUCGAGGUCAGCCAAAUAACAACACAAAGCAUAAAAAUAAAGAGUUCAGAUGGAUAGAACAAUGGAUAGAGAAUAGUCCUUGCGGACUCAAUCGGACUUGCCGCUCUCGGCCGGAUCAAACAAACGUCUGUUGCACGAGCGAUGAAUCCCCUCAGUUGAAGUGCAUGUUCCCAUAGGCGCUUUCCUGGUCGGUGCGAUCGUGGAGUCUGCUAUGCUGGUGACUGUCGCUGGUUACUUCUGCCAAUGCAGCCGCCGGUAACGAGAUGGAGGAUCAGCCACAUGAGACUGUUGUUCUUCCGCUGCGAGUCAACCAUCCAGCGUCGGUAAGCCUGAUCAUCUGUCACAUCCGCCAGCUCUCUGAGGUCAUAGGAUGGGUCAUCUUCUGGGGUAAUGUCCUUGACAUCCUCCAUAUCCGCGUCAGGUGCAGCAGCACGGGGAUCAGUGCAUAUGUGCUCGGGUGGUGGGAGGAAGCGUAUGUUAUCGAACACGCUGAGCCUGGUGAUCUCGGGGUGAGGCAGCUUGGUGAACAGUUGGGUACCCUCCUUGUCGAAGAAGCUGUAGGUAUCCUCAUCGCGCAUGAUGUGGAAUGCCAUAAGGUACUUGAUGUCGAGGUACUGAAUCUUCGUGUUCACCAUGUAUUUGCUGAGAUCAAUGCCGAAAUGCUUGUAGAGCGGCGUGAGCAAGCUAUCACUUAUGUCCUUGUUCGUGAUGUGCAUCAGACAGAGCCUCCUCUCGCAAAGCAUGGUGAUGAAAUGAAAGCCUGGGUUCGUCUUGACCUUCUGAAUUGGAAUGCUAGACCCUGAACCGCAGAUCUCAUCCUCAAUACCUGCAUACAGGGUUUGCAGCUCCCCGUUUGUCACUUUGGAAGUCUGAUCCUUGGCAAACAGGAGGUUUGAAAUGAUCUUUGCAAUGACUCUAAGUGCCGGGUUCCUGAUCUGUGACUGGUAGGCUUUGCCAGGUGUGAAGUUCCCAUUCGCGAUGAAGUCCCAGAAGGUGUUUGAUGGGGUGAACUUUUUCACCACUGCUACCACUCUCGGCUCAUUCGCGAUUCCAUAGGGAUGAAAUGAAAGCCUGGGUUCGUCUUGACCUUCUGAAUUGGAAUGCCAGACCCUGAAGCGCGGAUCUCAUCCUCAAUACCUGCAUACAGGGUUUGCAGCUCCCCGUUUGUCACUUUGGAAGUCUGAUCCUUGGCGAACAGGAGGUUUGAAAUGAUCUUUGCAAUGACUCUAAGUGCCGGGUUCCUGAUCUGCGACUGGUAGGCUUUGCCAGGUGUGAAGUUCCCAUUCGCGAUGAAGUCCCAGAAGGUGUUUGAUGGGGCGAACUUUUUCGCCACUGCUACCCCUCUCGGCUCAUUCGCGAUCUCAUAGAUUUCGUUGAGUUUGUCGAGGGACAGUGAGCAAUACUCUCCAUCAGCCAUGAAUGAGAAGGAGCAGUUGGCGUAGGAAGGAGCAGAGAAGUCCUCAUAGCUGAUGGUGGCAGUGGCGAGCACUUGGCGGACAAGGUCAGGGUAGAGCUCGUGCGUAGCGUAACAAAGGGGAGCGAUCCCCAUCGCUUGCAGCGUCUCGAACACAUCCUCGUCGAUACCGAGCUCAACGAGAGUCUCGGCGUGGCAAAAACGGGUAGGUAGUAUCUCGGCCUUGAGGAGAGUGUUGUACCGACUAGCUGUCUCCUUGUCCCACCCUUCGCAUUUGAAAUCUAAAAGCAUAGGGUCAUCGAGAUUGAUUGGCUCGUCCUCCUGUUCUCGCGGCCAUGGGUAAGAGGCGGAGGUUGGUUGUUGUGCUCGCUGUGGGGGCGUGUUGUUCGUCUUCCUUGUUUUAUUGGCCGAUUGCUUGGUGCGUGGAGGCAUCUGCAAGGCAAACAAAAGUUUUUCAUUAGUUCCAUCCUCGGUUGCAUAGAAGAAAAGGAAUCAAACUAAUUCUCUUUUAGGAACUAUUCCUUUUUCCUUCUAAGCAAUCUGCCUUCAACAAACCUAACACCAACUCGCCAAAUCAGACAAUUUCAACUUUUCACAAUCACAAUUCAUAUGAGCAAUUACUUUUCACAAUCACAAUUCAUAUGAGCAAUGUAUAUCAAGAUGCAACAUUUUGUCUAAAUCGAAACUUGCUCAAACAAAGGAGAAAUGAAACCGCGAUUCUCUAGGGCUAAGAGACAAAAGUUCAACUUCUAAAAUCAACCCUAACAUCAUAAGAGAAUUUCAGAUCAAGCUAUUUCUAACAAGAAUCGAACUAUCGAAGCGGUUUAGAAGGGUGAGCUUUUCAAACCGAAAUAGCGAUUCUGUUUUGAUUGUCGAGCCUCUUACCGUGAUAAUCAGAGCAAAUGGACUGCAAAAACAGAGAGAACUCGAAAAUCCAAUUGGAUUAGAAGCAAGAAUCACUUAAGAAGAGUGAGAAUUUAAGUUUUGGUGAUGACUUCAAAAUCGCAAGAGAGGGAGGAGGGUACGGUUGAGUUAAAAGGGAAAGUGGAAGGGUGGAGCCUUAAAUAGGCGAAACCCUAACCGCUCUCCAUUAUCUCUCUCUCUUUUCUUUUUUUUUUUUUUGUCCGGAACAAUUACCUGGAACAGGUGAUGGGUUGUUCCACCAGAAGAACAGUCCUUCGGUUGUUUUGACUAAAGUGUUCGGGGUUUUUUUUUUUUUUUAACCUGCAAACUAAAUUUGAAAAGAGAUAAAAUAGACUAUAGAAAACAAUAUAUACACUCACAAGUGGGUUGUCUCCCACCAAGCGCUUAGUUAAAGUCUUUAGUUUUACUUGGCUCAACCGAUCAGGCUGAUGGGGGAUCGCUUGGGGAAUUUCUUCACCCUCUGCGAUAGUGGAGUCAGCAAGGUAAUGCUUGAUGCGCUGACCAUUGAUGACGAACUCGUCUCCCUUUCUGUCCAGCAACACAACAGCUCCGUAAGGGCGGACUUCCUUAACGGUGAAGGGUUCAGACCAUCUAGAUUUCAGCUUGCCUGGGAACAACCUAAGUCUAGAGUUGAAGAGCAAAACCUUAUUGUUUGGUUUGAAACGUCUGGCAAUGAUUCGCUUGUCAUGGUAGGCUUUGGUCUUCUCCUUAUAAAUUUUGGAACUCUCAUAGGCGAGGUGCCUUAUGUCUUCCAGCUCAUGGACUUGGAUCAUGCGCCUCUCAGUUGCUAGCUUGAUGUCAAAAUUUAGUAACUUGACCGCCCAUGAAGAUGACAAGCCUUACCAUAGACAAGGUGAUAGGGGGUGGUUCCUAGCGGUGUUUUGUAGGCUGUUCUGUAGGCUCAGAGAGCAUCGUCCAGCUUAAGCGACCAGUCCUUGCACGAGGUAUUGACAGUUUUCUGUAGAAUGUUCUUGACUUCCCUGUUGGAAACUUCAACCUGUCGACUCGUCUGGGGGUGAUAAGCGGUAGCCACCUUGUGAUUCACCCCAUUCUUCUUCAACAGGCCCUGAAAUGCCUUGUUGAUGAAGUGUGUUCCGCCAUCGCUAAUGACCACUCUAGGCACCCCAAAUCUCGGAAAGAUGAUGGAGCUGAACAUCUUAGUCACCACUUUUGCAUCAUUAGUGGGACUCGCCACUGCUUCUACCCACUUGGAGACAUAGUCAAUGGCGACUAGGAUGUACUCGUUCUUGAAGGACGAAGGGAAUGGUCCCAUGAAGUCGACUCCCCAACAGUCGAAUACCUCAACUUCUAAAAUGUAAUUCUGAGGCAUUUCAUUCCUUUUGGUGAUGUUCCCAAGUCGCUGGCAUGUAUCGCAUCGAGCUAUGUAGGCGUGAGCAUCUCUGAACAUAGUUGGCCACCAGAAACCUUCUUGGAGGAUUUUGGAAACCAUUUUGAAUGUGGCGAAGUGCCCUGCGUAAGAUGAACCAUGGCAAUGAUGUAGAAUCCCUGGAAUUUCUGCCUCUGUAACACACCUUCUGAAUAUGCCAUCCUUGCAAUGUUUGUACAAGUAGGGUUCAUCCCAAACAUACUGCCUCGCUUCUCUUAAGAAUUUCCUCUUCUCGUUUCCAGUGAACUUAAGUGGUUCCUUUUCAGCAGCUAGGAAGUUCACAAUCUCAGCAAACCAGGGGAGGUGAGAGUACUGCUUUUGGAUCGCGGCUACUGGUUGUUCCGGUACGCGAGGACAAUCGGAUGUUAUGCUCAGGGGUUUUUCCGCGAAGCGCAGACCAAUCGCGUUGACGUGUUCCACUGUGUGUUCUUCAUCAAGAGCUGUGUUGUCCUCAAUCUUCAUUCUGGACAAGUGGCCUGCAACCCCAUUCUCGACUCCCUUUUUGUCUUUUAUCUCGAUAUCAAAUUCUUGGAGAUGAAGAAUCCACCUCAACAACCUCGGUUUUGCAUCCUUCUUUGUGAGCAAGUACUUAAGAGCAGCAUGGUCUGUGUGCACAACCACCUUUGAUCCCACCCGGUAGGAUCUGAACUUCUCGAAUGCAAAAACAAUAGCUAGGAGCUUCUUCUCAGUCGUAGCGUAUCUGCAUUGAGCUUCAUCCAUGGUUUUGCUUGCGUAAUAGAUCACAUGAAGUUUCUUGUCCUUGCGCUGCCCAAGGACUGCUCCAACUGCAAAAUCGCUAGCAUCAGUCAUGAUCUCAAAAGGGAGAUCCCAGUCUGGCGGUUGUACAACAGGUGCGCUGACUAGAGCUCCUUUGAUCGUAUGGAACGCAGCUACGCACUCGCUUUUAAAAUCAAACUUGAUCUCCUUGCAGAGCAGUCUGGUGAGUGGUCUCGCUAUUUUUGAGAAGUCCUGGAUGAACCUCCUGUAAAACCCAAGAAGCUUCUGAUAGCUUUCACAGUUGUUGGUGGCUGCAAGCUCAUCAUCACCUCGACCUUUGCCUUAUCUACCUCAAUGCCUUUCUCGGAGAUCUUAUGCCCUAGAACAAUCCCAUCUCUGACCAUGAAGUGGCACUUCUCCCAAUUUAGCACCAGAUGUUUCUCCUCACACCUUUUGAGUACCCUGCACAAGUUUGACAAACAUGCACUAAAGGAGCUUCCAUAGACACUGAAAUCGUCCAUGAAAACCUCCAUAAUGUCUUCAAUCAGGUCAGUAAAUAUCGACAUCAUGCAGCGCUGAAAUGUUGCUGGCGCAUUGCACAUGCCGAAUGGCAUUCUCCUGUAUGCGUAUGUUCCGUAUGGGCAUGUGAACGUCAUCUUCUCCUGAUCGUCCGGAUGGAUAGGGAUCUGAAAGAAACCUGAAUAACCAUCUAAAAAGCAGUAAUAUGGGUGGUUAGCCAAUCUCUCAAGCAUUUGAUCAAUGAAGGGAAGUGGAAAGUGAUCCUUUCUAGUGGCUGCAUUUAAUUUUCUGAAAUCAAUGCACAUGCGAUGUCCUGUCACUGUUCUAGUAGGGAUCAAUUCAUUUUUUUCAUUUGUGAUAAUAGUGAUCCCACCUUUCUUAGGUACUACAUGAACAAGGGUAACCCACUUACUAUCAUAUAUGGCAUAGAUCACACCCGCUUCAAGAAGUUUCAUUAUCUCUUUCUUAACAUCUUUUAGAUUCAGGUUUAACCUCCUCUGAUGUUCAACAUAAGUCAUUGAUUCAUCUUCUAGGUGUAUUCUAUGCAUUCAUAAAUCAGGUGAGAUGCCAGGUAUGUCAGCUAGUGAAUAUCCUAAUGCCUUACGAUGCUUCCUAAGCUCACACAAAAGCAGUGCAGUUUCCACAUUUUUGAGUUCAGCGUUCACAAUGACAGGGUAAGUGGAAUUCGGACCGAAGAAAGCGUACCUGAGCCCCUUGGGAAGGGGUUUUAGCUCAACUUUGGGAGCCUUCAACUCGCUCCAGGGAUCAUCAGGUUGGUUUGGCGAGUUCGGUAAAGGGGACGCUCCAGUUGGAGUGUUCUCGUCCUUGUUGCUUUCUUCCCCCAGACUUAGACUCGCCACCAUUCUUCCCAUACUCCUUGCGGAGUCAAGCAUCUUAGCAUACCCGUCUGCGUUAAUGUUCUCGACACUCUGCUUGGCCUCAGCUCUUACUAGUGCAAGCUCAAGUGGAUCUUUUGUAAGAAUCUCCUCGAUCAUCCCGUCGCGAGGUUGCAGCGGAUCAAUCCCUUCAUUCACCUUGAAGGCCUGUCCAUCCAGCAUCGCCUUCUUCAGCAGCUCAUCCAUCUUGAACUGCAUGACUAUGUCUCCCAGAUUGAGAUCAAUCUUCCCUUGCCGCACAUCAAUGAUGGCUCCAACAUUACAUAGGGAUGGUCUUUCUAAAAUGAGAGGAUCUUUGGAUUCCUCUUCCAGCUCUAGAACUACGAAGUCUGCUGGAACAGAGGUGUUCCCGAAUUUUACUUGGAGAUCCUCUAGAAUACCAACCGGGGACUUAAAUGAUUUAUACGCGAACACCAAGGACAUCCUAGUUGGUUUGAAAUGCGUGUAUCCCAGACGUCGUGCUACAGAGUAGGGCAUGAGGUUUACGCUGGAUCCCAGAUCAACCAGGGAGGAUGAGAAAAAUGUCUUCCCAAUCUGGAUAUAUAGGACGAACUUGCCAGGGUCUCCUUGCUUCUUUAUCUGUCUGUUCUGAAGCACUGCGCUGCACUCCUUAGAGAUAGUCAUGAAUUCGCUCUCCUCUGAUAUUUUUCCUGAGAUCAAUCCCUUCAUAAAGCUGCGCAUGGAGGGCAUCAUUUGGAUCGCAUCCAUCAAGGGGAGUCGGACGGUUAGGUCCUCCAACAUCUUUCUGCAUUUCAUCUCCUCUCGUUCCUUACGAGUAGCCUUUGCUGGAACAGGGUAAGGGACUUUAGGAGUGUAUUCGCGAGCAGGAACAUGCUCUGGGAUUGGGUGGACAGCCUCAGCUGGUUUUCUGGUUCUGGCGAAUUGGUUCCAACUGUUGGUUCCCUCUCCUACUCAGUUGCCGGGGUAUUGGCUAGUGGUAGUUCUAACUCUUUCUGCUUCCCCUUCUCAGCCGCAGUGAACCUCUUCUUUACCGGUUCCGACAAUUGCUUUCCACUUCUCAACUCAACCGCAAUGCACUCCUUAGGGUUUUUGUCAGUUUUUCCAGGUAUAGUACCUUGUUGCCUCUUGACGCUCUCAGCAGUCUGAGCAAUCUGAAUGUCCAUCUGUCUCAUAUGGCUCGCAACAUUGUCGUACUUGGUGCUCAAAUCGCUGAACAUAUGGUUCAUUCUGGUGUUGAUCUCGGUAGUAACCUGGUUUAGAGCCUUCCCUUGGUGUUGUUGUCCUUGGAGCAGCUCCUGCAACAUAGCUUUUGUCUCAUCUUGCGGAACAACGACAGGAGCGGAGGUAGCUGGCUGAGUGUUAUGGUGUUUCUGCAUCUGAGGUGGAUUGUUAUGCGGUUGGCUUAGUACAUAAGUCCGGGGUUGGUAGUUCUUUUGAUACCCGGCAUACUGACCUUGGUUACUCUAUGCAGGAUCAGCUAGUUUGUCUUGCUUAGGCCAUAAAAGCUGUGGGUUGUUCCUCACGUUAGGGUUUGGAUGGUAGUUUUUGAGCUGUCAUCCUUGCCCAUUCACGUAGCUCACCACUUGCUUAUCGUCUCCUGAUAUUUCAGCAUCAAACGCCAGGUCGCCGACACUCUUCUCAGGAGCUGCUUCUUUUAUUAUGAACACUUGGCUUUGGUUUCCCUUAAGCAGUUGGUCCACCUUUGUAGCGAGAUCAUCUAUGCUGUUCACACUCUUUGAGCGGUCAUGCUCCUUGUUCUUGUUUAGUGAACUUGAAACCAGGUUCUCAAUCAGAUCGAACGCACCAGGUGUGGUUUGAGUCAUGAAAUCUCCAUUACUCGAAGAGUCAAGGGUGUUUUGAAACUCAUAGCUCACUCCAUCAUAGAACACUUCCAAUAUAUAGUCAUCGUCAAACCCAUGGUUCGGGCACUCUCUCUGGUACUCCUUGUACCUCUCCCAAGCUUCAUGAAAAGGUUCAUCAGACUUCUGCUUGAAAUUGGAGAUCCUGUGCCGUAGAGCCGCGGUUUUAGACUUCGUGUAGAAGUGGCUCAGGAACGCUGAUCGAACCUGGUCUCAUGAGGUAAGAGAGCCAGUUGGCAGAGAUUGGAGCCAGCGAGAAGCUUUCCCUUCAAGAGAUAAUGGGAACAUCGUGCACUUGACAUAAUCUGGUGGCACUCCGUUAGAGCGAGAGAAAUUGCAGAUUCUCUCAAAGGCUUCGAUGUGGUCCAUCGGGAUGUCAGUAGUGAGACUGCUGAAUGUGCUCUUCUGUACCAGACUUAUCAGUGCAGGUUUGAUCUCAUAGUCUUGCCAAGUGCAAGGAGGAUGGUUGAUAGGGGAGCGGUUAGUAGCGAAGUUCCGAGGAAGGUUCCGCUCCCCAAUAGGAGCACCACGCUCUUCUCGCGAGGCGUUCUCAGCUGCUUCUUGAGCAGCUUGUUGCUGAUUUUGGAUGGUCUGCUGCAUCUGCAACAUCUGUUGUUGCUGAGUCUGCAUUUGUUGUUGAAUGAUUGCAAUUGCAGCAGUGAGGUCAUCCUGAUUGCCGUGAUCACCCAUGUUGGUGUUGGUUGUUCUCGACUGUUGACGGUUUUGUCUUUCUAAUCUUGCGAGUUCGUCGUUGGUCAGUUGAUGUAGUGGUCCUUGUGCGUUGCUCCGAGUAUGUCUACUGGUCAUGCACUUGGAUCAUGGAACCAAACAACUAUUCAAGUGCAAUGAGGUGCAGUCUAGAACUCGGAUCACUCGGCUAGAACAAUCCACUAUCGUGGACUUGUUCCCUUUGCUGAUCGGUCUUGAGUCCUAAGCUCUCACUUGGAACAAGACGCGAUAGCAAGCCUUAGAGAUCAGGUCCGAUUAGUUCACUUAAUAUGCUAAUAUCUACUCUCGCUGAUUAGGGAUAUGAAGCUCAUUCAAUAUAUGUCAAUUUAUCUCCUAAGCAGUUAGCUAGGUGAUUAAACUAGAGAUCGAACAUUAAGUGAUCAAUUCAAUGCAAGCAGUAAGAACAAUAUGAAUAAAGAACAGUUAAAAUCACUUAUUUGCGUUUAGCUCAUGCGAUUGACACCCUAAAACCCUAAGCAAGCUUAGCCGACUACUCAAUCAUAAAGCAAGAUGACACAGACAUGAUUUCUGAAUAAUACUGCAUAUAAAAUAAAGUAGAAAGACAAGGGUUCAGGAUGAUCUUCUCGUGAAAUUGAGAGAUGUAGCCUUCUCCCUUACAAGUUGCUAAAUCCAAAAUUAGUUCUCUGUCCCUUCUAAAAACUAGCGUCCUCUUAGAAAUGAUAGCAUAGCCUUUUUAUAUGGAGGCGCCAGUGGUAAAGAGAAAAGAGAGAAAAUCUAGGGCAAACCCCUGAAAUCUUAGAGGUUUCCUUAAUAAUCGGGAACAGUCAGUCGCUUGUUCUCUUUGGGAACAACCUUUGGAUUGAUCCGACUGGCUGUUCUGCGUUAGAUAUUCCAAAAUGACUUCUUCCUUCAUGACACUCUCUUCUUUACUCUUUCACCUGCUCCAAACCUGGAAUGAUAUCAAAUAAGCACGAAUUAGAACUGAGAAUUAACUCAAAGAACACAUGUAAUGGUAUUAAAAACACCAUAUAUCAGAUAUCCUUAAAACUUAAAAAGUUUCUAUGAGACUCAGGGGAAUACAAUGCAUCACUUAUUUCAAAUAUCGUUCCCCCUGGCAUUGAAAAUUUCGCUCUCCAGAGCCCAUAAUAAUCUUUGCAUUACCAGAUAUUGUACUUACGCUUCCAGCGUAAUCUCUUAUUUUAAAACUGGAUAAAUAUUUCUUAUCUUUAAUUAUCGUGUGCAUUGACGCACUAUUUGCCAAACACAAAUCUCCAUCCAGUCUCAAAGUUUGACAUUUUUCUGAAUAUAAAACAUAUAUUAUUAAACACGAAACAUUACAAAUAUAACAUAUAUCUUACAACAAAAGAUAUAGAUACUAUAAUACAGUCUAUUUAUAUCACAUUGAUUCUAUAUCACUCAUCGAUACUCUCUGGCUCAGCCAGAUAGUCUGAUACGUCGAGAUGAGUAUCAUCGUUUAAACCAUGAAAGGAUUGCCCAUGUUCAUCAGAGAUGAAGUUAGUUUCACCUCUUCCUUUCUCUUUUCCCUUUUGGAAUUCUCUAUACAGAUCGGCUAAAUGUUUUGGCGUACAACAGUUACGUAUCCAAUGACCUUUCAUGCCGCAUCUGUAGCAAACCUUUCCCGUUUGCCUUUUAUCAUCCUGGCCCUUUUCAUUCUUUUCAUUUUUGUGGAAGUCUUUAUUAUUUCUUUCAUCAUAGGGACGAAAUCUUCUUCCUCGUCCUCUUCCACGACCAUGAUAACGGUUUCCACCACGUCCACGACCUUGUCCUCUCCUAUUAUCAUAACUGGAUGAUGCAACAUUCGCUUCUGGGAAUGGAGCAGAUCCAGUGGGACGAGCUUGAUUGUUUAAAUUCACUAGUGAUAAUUCUGCUCUGCUACAAGGAGGACUUGCAUCAACUCCGAGUAACGGGUAUAUCCAUUCACCCGGUACUGUUGCUGCAUGACUACAUUUUCAGGAUGGAACGUGGAGAGAGUUUUCUCGAUCAUAUCAUAAUUACUUAUUUUCUCUCCACAUAACAUCAUCCUUGAAGUAAUUCCGAACAUCGCGGAAUUAAACUCACUAACACUUUUGUAGUCCUGGAACCGGAGAUGGAUCCACUCGUGUUUAGCUUUCUGUAAGAUCACAUAUUUCUGGUGAUCGAACCUCUCUUUUAAAGAUUUCCAGAGGUCACAAAGAUCCUCUUUCGUAAUAUAUUCAUCCUUUAAACCAUCAUGGAUGUGGUAUCGUAGAAAUAUCACGGCUUUUACCUUUUUCUCAUCCGACACCGUUUUUGAACUAUCGAUGGUUUCCAAAAGCCCGUUUCUUCUCAGGUGCUUCUUUGCACCCACUGCCUAGGUCAUAUAAUUAUUUCCCGUAAUAUCCAGGGCAUUAAUUUCGAGCUUUGUCAAAUUCGACUUGAUAACUGUAUUCAUAAAAUAAUAUAUAAAUAUAGUAAAGACGGGAAUUUAAAUGCAUAAUUUAAAUGCAGAAAUUAAAGGCAUAAAAUAAAAGCAUAAACUUAAAUUGCAUAAAUUUAAAUUGCAUAAAUUUAAAUAGCAUAAAUAAAAUCGAGAGGCUUAGCCUACCACAUGAUCCGAGGAGUCAUAGACUACCAUAUUGAUCAUUUUUUAAAGUCCGAGGAGAUAUGGUCUACCAUUUUGACUUUUACUUAUUUCAAGGUCCGAGGAGACUUAGUCUACCAUUUUUGACCUUUANNNNNNNNNNNNNNNNNNNNNNNNNNNNNNNNNNNNNNNNNNNNNNNNNNNNNNNNNNNNNNNNNNNNNNNNNNNNNNNNNNNNNNNNNNNNNNNNNNNNNNNNNNNNNNNNNNNNNNNNNNNNNNNNNNNNNNNNNNNNNNNNNNNNNNNNNNNNNNNNNNNNNNNNNNNNNNNNNNNNNNNNNNNNNNNNNNNNNNNNNNNNNNNNNNNNNNNNNNNNNNNNNNNNNNNNNNNNNNNNNNNNNNNNNNNNNNNNNNNNNNNNNNNNNNNNNNNNNNNNNNNNNNNNNNNNNNNNNNNNNNNNNNNNNNNNNNNNNNNNNNNNNNNNNNNNNNNNNNNNNNNNNNNNNNNNNNNNNNNNNNNNNNNNNNNNNNNNNNNNNNNNNNNNNNNNNNNNNNNNNNNNNNNNNNNNNNNNNNNNNNNNNNNNNNNNNNNNNNNNNNNNNNNNNNNNNNNNNNNNNNNNNNNNNNNNNNNNNNNNNNNNNNNNNNNNNNNNNNNNNNNNNNNNNNNNNNNNNNNNNNNNNNNNNNNNNNNNNNNNNNNNNNNNNNNNNNNNNNNNNNNNNNNNNNNNNNNNNNNNNNNNNNNNNNNNNNNNNNNNNNNNNNNNNNNNNNNNNNNNNNNNNNNNNNNNNNNNNNNNNNNNNNNNNNNNNNNNNNNNNNNNNNNNNNNNNNNNNNNNNNNNNNNNNNNNNNNNNNNNNNNNNNNNNNNNNNNNNNNNNNNNNNNNNNNNNNNNNNNNNNNNNNNNNNNNNNNNNNNNNNNNNNNNNNNNNNNNNNNNNNNNNNNNNNNNNNNNNNNNNNNNNNNNNNNNNNNNNNNNNNNNNNNNNNNNNNNNNNNNNNNNNNNNNNNNNNNNNNNNNNNNNNNNNNNNNNNNNNNNNNNNNNNNNNNNNNNNNNNNNNNNNNNNNNNNNNNNNNNNNNNNNNNNNNNNNNNNNNNNNNNNNNNNNNNNNNNNNNNNNNNNNNNNNNNNNNNNNNNNNNNNNNNNNNNNNNNNNNNNNNNNNNNNNNNNNNNNNNNNNNNNNNNNNNNNNNNNNNNNNNNNNNNNNNNNNNNNNNNNNNNNNNNNNNNNNNNNNNNNNNNNNNNNNNNNNNNNNNNNNNNNNNNNNNNNNNNNNNNNNNNNNNNNNNNNNNNNNNNNNNNNNNNNNNNNNNNNNNNNNNNNNNNNNNNNNNNNNNNNNNNNNNNNNNNNNNNNNNNNNNNNNNNNNNNNNNNNNNNNNNNNNNNNNNNNNNNNNNNNNNNNNNNNNNNNNNNNNNNNNNNNNNNNNNNNNNNNNNNNNNNNNNNNNNNNNNNNNNNNNNNNNNNNNNNNNNNNNNNNNNNNNNNNNNNNNNNNNNNNNNNNNNNNNNNNNNNNNNNNNNNNNNNNNNNNNNNNNNNNNNNNNNNNNNNNNNNNNNGCAAGCAGUAAGAACAAUAUGAAUGAAGAACAGUUAAAAUCACUUAUUUGCGUUUAGCUCAUGCGAUUGACACCCUAAAACCCUAAGCAAGCUUAGCCGACUACUCAAUCAUAAAGCAAGAUGACACAGACAUGAUUUCUGAAUAAUACUGCAUAUAAAAUAAAGUAGAAAGACAAGGGUUCAGGAUGAUCUUCUCGUGAAAUUGAGAGAUGUAGCCUUCUCCCUUACAAGUUGCUAAAUCCAAAAUUAGUUCUCUGUCCCUUCUAAAAACUAGCGUCCUCUUAGAAAUGAUAGCAUAGCCUUUUUAUAUGGAGGCGCCAGUGGUAAAGAGAAAAGAGAGAAAAUCUAGGGCAAACCCCUGAAAUCUUAGAGGUUUCCUUAAUAAUCGGGAACAGUCAGUCGCUUGUUCUCUUUGGGAACAACCUUUGGAUUGAUCCGACUGGCUGUUCUGCGUUAGAUAUUCCAAAAUGACUUCUUCCUUCAUGACACUCUCUUCUUUACUCUUUCACCUGCUCCAAACCUGGAAUGAUAUCAAAUAAGCACGAAUUAGAACUGAGAAUUAACUCAAAGAACACAUGUAAUGGUAUUAAAAACACCAUAUAUCAGAUAUCCUUAAAACUUAAAAAGUUUCUAUGAGACUCAGGGGAAUACAAUGCAUCACUUAUUUCAAAUAUCGUUCCCCCUGGCAUUGAAAAUUUCGCUCUCCAGAGCCCAUAAUAAUCUUUGCAUUACCAGAUAUUGUACUUACGCUUCCAGCGUAAUCUCUUAUUUUAAAACUGGAUAAAUAUUUCUUAUCUUUAAUUAUCGUGUGCAUUGACGCACUAUUUGCCAAACACAAAUCUCCAUCCAGUCUCAAAGUUUGACAUUUUUCUGAAUAUAAAACAUAUAUUAUUAAACACGAAACAUUACAAAUAUAACAUAUAUCUUACAACAAAAGAUAUAGAUACUAUAAUACAGUCUAUUUAUAUCACAUUGAUUCUAUAUCACUCAUCGAUACUCUCUGGCUCAGCCAGAUAGUCUGAUACGUCGAGAUGAGUAUCAUCGUUUAAACCAUGAAAGGAUUGCCCAUGUUCAUCAGAGAUGAAGUUAGUUUCACCUCUUCCUUUCUCUUUUCCCUUUUGGAAUUCUCUAUACAGAUCGGCUAAAUGUUUUGGCGUACAACAGUUACGUAUCCAAUGACCUUUCAUGCCGCAUCUGUAGCAAACCUUUCCCGUUUGCCUUUUAUCAUCCUGGCCCUUUUCAUUCUUUUCAUUUUUGUGGAAGUCUUUAUUAUUUCUUUCAUCAUAGGGACGAAAUCUUCUUCCUCGUCCUCUUCCACGACCAUGAUAACGGUUUCCACCACGUCCACGACCUUGUCCUCUCCUAUUAUCAUAACUGGAUGAUGCAACAUUCGCUUCUGGGAAUGGAGCAGAUCCAGUGGGACGAGCUUGAUUGUUUAAAUUCACUAGUGAUAAUUCUGCUCUGCUACAAGGAGGACUUGCAUCAACUCCGAGUAACGGGUAUAUCCAUUCACCCGGUACUGUUGCUGCAUGACUACAUUUUCAGGAUGGAACGUGGAGAGAGUUUUCUCGAUCAUAUCAUAAUUACUUAUUUUCUCUCCACAUAACAUCAUCCUUGAAGUAAUUCCGAACAUCGCGGAAUUAAACUCACUAACACUUUUGUAGUCCUGGAACCGGAGAUGGAUCCACUCGUGUUUAGCUUUCUGUAAGAUCACAUAUUUCUGGUGAUCGAACCUCUCUUUUAAAGAUUUCCAGAGGUCACAAAGAUCCUCUUUCGUAAUAUAUUCAUCCUUUAAACCAUCAUGGAUGUGGUAUCGUAGAAAUAUCACGGCUUUUACCUUUUUCUCAUCCGACACCGUUUUUGAACUAUCGAUGGUUUCCAAAAGCCCGUUUCUUCUCAGGUGCUUCUUUGCACCCACUGCCUAGGUCAUAUAAUUAUUUCCCGUAAUAUCCAGGGCAUUAAUUUCGAGCUUUGUCAAAUUCGACUUGAUAACUGUAUUCAUAAAAUAAUAUAUAAAUAUAGUAAAGACGGGAAUUUAAAUGCAUAAUUUAAAUGCAGAAAUUAAAGGCAUAAAAUAAAAGCAUAAACUUAAAUUGCAUAAAUUUAAAUUGCAUAAAUUUAAAUAGCAUAAAUAAAAUCGAGAGGCUUAGCCUACCACAUGAUCCGAGGAGUCAUAGACUACCAUAUUGAUCAUUAUUUUUCAAAGUCCGAGGAGACAUGGUCUACCAUUUUGACUUUUACUUAUUUCAAGGUCCGAAGAGACUUAGUCUACCACUUUUGACCUUUUCUUUUUAUUCACGGUAGCAAAGCCUACCACGUGUUUCUCUGAUCGUGAAGGCAUAGCCUACCAUAACGAUCAGUCGGGGACGGCAGCGUUUAUCAUUCCAAAAAAUAAACGGAAAAGGCCUAACCUCUCUCUCCGAAAAAAUAAUAAAAUUUAAAUAAUUAAGUAUAUUGGAAUACAUAAAUUUAAACAUUAUCUCGGCUGGUUUAAGAACUUUCGGAUUGAUAAGCUGUUAGAACUUCCAGAUUGAUAGACUUCACCUGUAUAUGAAAGUUCGUGCUAAUAAUGUGUCGUAUAAUAAAUGUAAAGUAUUUAUAUAUCUGAAUUUAAUUAUAUUAUUCUUUUAUGUGUUUGGUAUAUUACGAAGAAGAAGGAGAACGAUAGUGGGAGAGAGAGAGAUGAAAGUGAUGUUUUUGUUUCUUAAUAUGAGAGAGAGAUAAGCAAAGUUGUUCAUAUAUAUAAUUCCAAGUGAACAUGAAACCCUUUAUAUAGAUGGGAGAAGUGGGUUAAACACAUAAAAAAGACAAAACCGUUGGACUAACACGUGCUGUGGUGAUCGUGCAAAGCUGACCAAGGGGGAAAAACAAGUGUCCAAGCUGGAUAUUCAUUCAAUUUUGAUAUUUAUCUUCUAACAUAUUCAACAAAUAUCGUAUAAAACACAUAAAGGAGCAUAAUAAUUAUCUUAUGAACCGUCAAAGGAGUGGUACUAGUUACUUAGGUUACUUGCUUUAAUUAAGCUUAUCUUAUAACUCAUGGUUUGUAUUCCACCUCGAGAGUGAUUAUUAUUCCCUCUCGUUCGAUUAGCCGCUUCUUUGAAUCCCAAUUUUCUUUAUAAUUCGAAAAUAAAUUGUUGUAAAUUUGUUUUGGUUAUUAUUCUUUAUACAAUAAAGGAAAUGGAAACACAAAUCAGGAGUCGUUAAUGAUGAACUCAAGUUAUGGUUCAAAUUUGAAUGGCAACAAAAAUCUGAUUGUCCAUUUCAAACAUAUAAAAACAUCGAAACUCCAUUCUUUUAGCCAAUACCUAUUUCAUCACAAAUUUCAACUUUUAUUUGUUCAGUUUAAUAUUAACCGAUAAUACUCUUAACUAGUUUAAUAUGUGACAAAUUUUCUAGCUGAGUUUAUUAUUUAUUUUUAAUAAAUCACUAGUAAACCCCACUAACUCAACUGUAACUUUUUGGUAGUAUUCAUAAUAAUGUAUAAACUAUUAUUAUUAAGUAUGAUUUUUAUCUUUCAGUUAACGCAAAAAUAACGUUAUAUACACUUAAUUUUUGGUAAAUUUCUUGAUACCAUUUGGAAAAUUCAAGAAAAAUUUCUCAUGUUUUGUUCAAGAAUAUAGCUAGGUAUGGUUUUUUUAAUAAAAUUUUUAAUUUAUUGAUCAUAAAAAAAAUAAUAUUUAUGUACAUCUAAAAGAAUAGAAGAAAGACAGAUUGAACUCUUGACACUACCCCAUGUGAGCACUAAACCAAAGCUGAAGUAGACCUGCAUGCUAGUUUCAGCUUCUCAUAAUAUCUUGUAGACAAUAUCCUUUGCCUGAUUUUUUUGUCAAUAAGUCUCGAAAGAUGCUUCACUAGGCGAGCUACCUGAGUAUGCCGACGCUCAUUCCUUUCCCUCCAAAUAUAAUAGAUCGCCACCUGAAAAGAUAACCUUAACAGAAUCGAUCUCAGCCUGUCAUGAGAAGUUGCAGCAACCCGAACCACAUUUUUCCCCAAUCCAGAGAGGGAUGAGGCCGCAGUAGAUUUCCUAUCACUUGUACCAAAGAGUGUACGUGUAAGGGCAAUCAAAAAACAGAUGGUCUCUUGUUUCCUCUCUUUCUCCACAGGCCGCAGUAAAUUUUAUGGUUUUUUUAAUAAAAUUUUUAAUUUAUUGAUCAUAAAAAAAAUAAUAUCCCCCCCCAUGCUCGCAUUCUGACGCCGGUAGAGAAUCUGUCCUUGACGGCAAGCCAAGUGAUGAAAGCAUAUGUAGUUUAACCUUUCUCUUUUUGAUAAAUUUAUAAAAUUUUUUAUGAUUCUCUUACUUUCGUUAUGUUUGAGUAGACCAAUUGUUAGACUGGGUAUUUUAGUUAGUAUAUAGUAUGUUGAUAUCGAUUUUAAUAUGGUUUCAUUUCUAAGUUCUUAACCUUUAUUUAUGUUCAGUGCAUAAUUCUUAGAGUAGUUAACUAGUUAUCUGAUCUAUAGUGAAUUGUGAACCGACGAAGUGAUGAAUCCUUUUCAUCAACUACUACUUGGUGAGUAAAGGAAAAAAUAAUUUGCAGAAUACAGUGAUUAAUCUUAAAUUUCUCGGUUUAAUGCUAAUCUUAAAAUUAAAAUAACUAACAAAAGUUGAGUCUAUCAGGUUUUUAGAUUUAUAACUUAUUCGAUGAAUAUACCUUAGUGUUUUAAGUUUAAAAACUCAUUCAGUGAACCCUAUUUGCUGAGUUUGCAUUCUUAUGUAUAUUUGCAAAUUUUCCAAAAUGGCUUAACUUCAUUGGUUUAUUGCUUUGAAACCAAUUUUUACUCUUUUGUUUACUUUUCUGCAUCAAAAACUCAAAAUCCUUUUGUUUUCUCUUAACUUUAUUCAAAUUUUAUAGAUUUGAGCUUUGCAUACCGCAAUACUCAGUAAAUUAUAUAAAUAAUGUUAAGGGAUUCCUCUAAACUAACUACCAAUUAAAAUUAAAAUUUUCCUAAUUAAGAGAUCCAACAAUAUAUAAUUCUUUUAGUUAAAAAUACACAUUUUCUUUGUAUUACUUUUUUUUUCUUACUUUUUAAAAGAAUUUGGGACCUAAUUCCUUAAUUUUCCAUCACAUAAUGAACAAUAUUUGUAGAAAUAUUUUUAGUCUUAUAUAUAAACCAUGAAAUCUGGUUUUCGAAUCACAUAGAAUAUAAUUUAUCAUCAAUUGUGAAGAUUAAAAGAAAAAACUUACAUGAAUCUUCAUGUUAGUACAAGCAAAACCAUCAAAUGUGGAUUUUCAUAAAAUGGCUCAGUAUGAUAUAAGUAUGUCUCAGUGCAGUGCAAAGAGAACCCUAAGAUAUGAAUCAUUUUAUGUGGAAUUGUCGGUUGUAGAUUUAACUUUUAAUAUUUUUCGUAAUUUGUAUAAAUCAGUGUUAAUAAACAUACAAAUCUUUUUGCGUCAUAUUUUUCUCCAGCCACCGUUAGUUAUAUUGCUAAUAGUGUACCUAAAAGGAUCGAGAAGAAAUGUAUUAGUUAUACGACUAAGGUACCAAAUUUGGUUAUAAUACUUUUUGACAAAGAAAUUUGUUAUAAUAAUUAUAUUAAUUAAUUGAAUGCACAAAAAAAAAAGAAGCGCUGGAAAAGAGCACAAAUGAUCACAUCAUACGUGGAACCACACAAUCUAAGCAAUUAUAUAAGUAUUUGUUUAUGUGCCCAAAGUAUUCGUCUUACAUUUAUAAUGGCAGAAUAAUUAUGAGCAUAAUUAUUUUUUCAACAUCAUCAAUAUUAUCUAUACAAACAACUUGUCCACAUAUUUGGCCAAAAAAUGAUUUGUCCACAAUUAUAAAUAUUAUCUAUACACUAUAUAUUUUCACCAUCAUUUAUUAUCUAUACAAAAGAUCCAGUGUAUUGGCUUUUACAUCACGUUUUUUUUUAAUUAAGUUUUAAGCUUACUUGAGGUAUGAUCUAAUAAGGCUUAAUCUCAGCAUUACACCUGAUGUUUAAGCUUUGUAUCACCCCUCUUCGUAAAUAGUUUAUAUUAAUAUAUUUUGAACUAUUUUUUUAUCUCGUUAUGAAAAGAAACUUAGUGGAAAUAACACUACAAGAAAUAUGUACAUUGUUAGCACGAGAAAUAUGUUAUAUUAGAUGUUUGAUAGCGAAUUCAUAUAUGCUAUAUAUACGUCAGCCAUCAUAGGUACCCCUUCUACGAUAGCGUUUUUUGAACGCUAUGAAAUAUGCACAUAUGAUAGCAAUACUUGGGUGAUAUUAUUAACUUUACUGUUAGCACUAUUUUCGUGCUAUUAUAGGUCAUUUGAUAAACUAAAAAUAAAUUAUAAUUAAAAAUAAAAUAAUUGAAAAUUAAACCAAAAUUGUUUUAUAAUUAAAAAUAAAAUAAAUUUUAUUUAUCAAAUAAAUUUUAUUUAUAAAUUUUAUUUAGUUUACAAUAAAUUUUGGUUUACAAAACUAAAC